GAAAAGGAACUUUUAUCUAUUGUUUUUGCACUUGAUAAGUUUAUAUCGUAUUUGUUAGGUUCGAAGGUAGUUGUUUUUACUGACCAUGCAGCUUUGAAGUUCUUGCUGAAGAAACCAAAAGCAAAACCGAGAUUGAUCUGGUCGAUGGUGUUACUGCAAGAAUUUGAUUUAGAGAUUAAAGAUAAGAGUUGAGCUGAAAAUUUGGUGGCAGAUCAUUUGAGCAGAAUAGAAAUGGAUGAAGACCUCAUCCCCAUUCAAGAUGACUUCCCUGAUGAUCAACUGCUACAGUUGCGUGAGAUAACUCCUUGGUUUGCUGAUUUAGUUAAUUACUUAGUUGAUGGAGUCCUUCCUGCAGAUGCAUCCAGAACACAAAUACACAAACUUAAAAGUGAUGUCAAAUACUAUGUGUGGGAUGAUCCAUAUAUGUGGAAAUUAUGUAGUGACCAGGUGAUUAGACGAUGUAUUUCCCACCAUGAGAAUUGACCCAUUCUUCAUUUUUGUCAUGUCUCUCAAGCUAGGGGACAUUUUUGUCCUCAAUGAACAUCAAGAAAAGUCUUAGACUCGAGUUUCUUUUGGCCCACUUUGUUUAAAGAUGCUUUUGAGACUUGCAAAACUUGUGAACAUUGCCAAAUAGCAGGAACAACAAUCACUCAUAGGAGUGAGAUGUCUCAACAACCUAUGCUUUUAUGUGAAGUAUUUGAUGUGUGGGGCAUUGACUUUAUGGACCCUUUUCAUAUAUCUUUUGGUUUUGUCUAUAUUUUACUAGCUGCUGAUUAUGUUUCGAAGUGCGUGGAAGCAAUACCCACUAGGACUAAUGAUUCUAAAGUUGUUGCAGAUUUUAUCAGAUCAAAUAUUUUUUGCAGGUUUGGAAUACCCCGAGCCAUCAUAAGUGAUCAAGGCACUCAUUUUUGCAACCGCACCAUGGACGCUUUGCUUCGGAAGUAUGGGGUUGUACACAGAGUUUCUACACCUUAUCAUCCCCAGACUAAUGGGCAAGCUGAAAUCUCAAACAGGGAAAUCAAAUCGAUCUUAGAAAAAAUGGGGCAGCCAAACAGGAAAGACUUGAGCCACCGACUUGAAGAAGCUCUUUGGGCUCAUAGAAUAGCCUACAAAACUCCAAUAGGGAUGUCCCCUUAUUGACUUGUGUUUGGUAAGGCAUGUCACAUCCCAGUGGAAAUAGAGCAUCGUGCUUAUUGGGCGGUCAAGAGUUGUAACAUUGAGUUGGAGAAAUCAGGUUUGGAGAGAAAGCUUCAAUUGCAACAACUUGAAGAGCUUAGACUUGAAGCUUAUGAGAACUCUCAGAUCUAUAAGGAGAAAACUAAGUACUUUCAUGAUAAGAUGAUUUCUAGGAAGGAAGUUCCCAUUGGUCAAAUCUUUUUAUUGUUCAAGUCCCGUUUUAAAAUUAUGGAUGGGAAACUUCGAUCAAAGUGGAUUGGUUCUUUUGUUGUUACUAACAUUUUUCCUCAUGGUGCAGUGGCAAUAAAAAGUGAAAACACCGAGAAAGUGUUCAAAGUAAAUGGACAACGCCUCAAGCUAUUCCAUGAGAGCUUUGUGCUUGAAGAUGCUACCAUAGAAGAACUCUCAUUGGAAAAGUCCACCUACACUGAGGUUUGAACAUAGAUCUCAUUUUCCUUACUCUUAUUUUAUACUUGUUACUUUAAUUGAGGACAAUGUGUAAUUUAAGUGUGGGGUAUUAUUUAGGAUUUUAGUAUUUAAGAUUUUAUUUGAUAUAUUUUAAAAAAAAUAAAAGAAUAAAAAGUAAUAAAAAUAAAAAUGGACAUUGCACUGCAUGAUUUUUCAUCAGAUUUUGUGGUUGUAAAUGUUGAGAGUUUGUUUGGACUAACAUGAUUGGAUAGUAUCAUUGCAUUCUUGAUAAAAUAAAUUAAAUUAAAAUGCUAAAUUGUGUAUCAUUUGUGAUAGGUCAUUAACCUUUUUGAGAUUUUUUAGCCUUAUUAUGAAUGAAAUGCAUUUUUACAUAUUUUUUUCUUGUGUGUUAUAUCACUCAUGAUUGCUAGUUACGCCAUAACUUGACUUGACACUUGCCCGCAUGAAUAUAUUGAAAUGAUCUAGCAUUUGUUUCUUAAUUAAGCUACUAGCCAAAUAAUCUUACCCCACAAUUAUCCAUUUGUUUAAGCCCCUUUGAUUCUAAUUAUCUCAUUCUUUGUUAUAUAUUUCAUUACAAGCCUAAAAGUGAAAAACAAUGAAUUGACCCAAUCUUGGUGGAUAAAGGAGUCUUUCCUUAAAUAAGUGUAGAUGUGCUCAACUUGUUUGUUUAAAUUUGAGGUUAUGAAAAAAAAAUAGAGAGAAAAAGAAAGAAUAUAUAUAUAUAUAUAUAUAUAUAUAUAUAUAUAUAUAUAUAUAUAUAUAUGAGGAAAAAUGGGUGUGUGAGCAAAGAGAGUGUGAAAAUAAAAGUCAAUGAUGUUUUGUUAAGUUACUUCUUAAUGUUGUUUUUCUUUCUUAAUCAUUACUCAUUUAUCCUCUUUGAUUUUCAGCCCUAGUCUCUUUAGGAUUAUCUCACUCUAACCUUGGCCACGUUACAACAUGAAUAAAGAUAUUUUGAUCAUUAUGUGCAUGUGUUUCAAAUAUAGAUUAUGGAGGCUUGCCAAGUCUAUAGAUUAUGUGCAUGUGUUUCAAGAUGUGCUUUGAGUGUAAACAGUAGUCCAAACACUUUGAGAGAAUUUUAUAUCCUGGGAGGACUCUACCACUUAUGAUGCAUUCUUUAGUUAACUUGUCCUUUUGUUUGCCUUGGUUGUGAUAAAAAAAAUUAUUCAUGAUUGCCUUAUCACAACCAAGGCAUAAGGCAAUCAUGAAUAAUUAUUCACCACUUUGCAUUCAUAAGAAUAUUUGGAAUUGCAUGGAUUGGUUUGCUCGGAGUGCAAAGGUUUAAGUGUGAGAGAAUUUGAUCAUACCAUUUGGGCACAUGUUUCUAGCUUUUUAGUUUGAUAUUUUAAAAGCUCUUUAUAGCCUAGAUUAAUAUUUUUAGCUUGUUUCUAAACUUUGGAUGAAUUUGAAUUAUAAUUUUAUUAUUUGUAUUUUGACUCUUGUUCGCUCUAUAGGCCAUAAAUUAAGCUCUGAAUAUUGGAUUAGCGCAUACGAGUAGGCGUUGGAAAGCUAAAAAUCAGAGCUACAACUUUUAUGUUGAAAAAAAAGACCAAUUCUAAAUUUUAUUGGGCCUAAAUUGCAUAUUUCGUAAUCUGAACUUUUGUAAUAAUUUUAAAUAGCGGGUCACUUUUUUAAACCAUAAAUCCCAAUAUCGAGUACUAUAUAUUUACAGUUUUGAUUCUUUUCUACAGACGGAAAAAUUAGGAUUCAGAUUGCUAUAAGAAAUAAAUAGUUUUUAUUUUAAUUUCAUGGAAGACUAAUUUUAUAAGAUUAAUCCACGAGUUCAGAGUUUCAUCAGCACCUUGAGAUUCAGGUUACACCGUCAAUUUCGAUUCAUGAUUAUAUUCUUGUUUAUUUGAUUAUAUUGAUAUUUUGAUUGCUUAAAUUCGAUUUCAAUAGGAUCGAUUAAAUUUAUUUGAUAGAAUUUGAUUUCAGUUUCUAAUUUAAUUGAAUUAUAAUUUUGCGAAGCUUGAUCGUUAAUUGUAAUAUUUUGAUGAUUGUGAUGCUUAAUCCGAUCAAAGAAACCAAAUUCACAUACGAUUGAUUACGCUUGUUUGAUCAAUUCUAUAGUCAAAUAAGAAUAGAAUCACAAAUUUGAAAUUAAAUUCAUUGAUAGAAUAUGUGAUAGAUUACGAUUGUAUUGUAUAUUUCAAUUCGGUUAUUAUUAUUACAUUUUAUUAAUUAUAUUUGACAUUUGUGCUACAGCGGAUCACACCUCUACUUUUUGUACACAUGUGCGAUAUUUAGUUAAUCACAUAUAAAAAUAUGAUUAAUCCAGUUGAGUAAUUGGCUAAUUUAACUGCAGGAUUAAUCAACAUUUUUAAAGUGGUCUAAAUUAAUCAUCUAUUCAACAAAAUUAAUUACCUUUUCAUACGUGAUAAACCAAGUGUCACAUAUGAAAAUAAAAAUAAAUAAAUAAAAAAGUCGGUGUACAUAAAAAUUCUUGUUUGCCCGAUACCUCUACUCUAGGAGAAUAUGAAUCAACUUUGAAUGGUACCAUAAGUUUUGGAAAUUAGCUACAUGGAUGCAUGUGCACAACAAAUCCAUCUUCUUGGGUACAACAAUGGUACCACACAACACACAAGUUUACAAAAGUAGUUCUGCAUGAAUGCAAUGUAAAGUAAACACCUUCUUAGAGACAACCAUAAAGUUCGAAAAUGAUCAUGUAGUUGUGAUGCAUGGACGACAUGUACUCAAACUUAGUCCACUUUGAGGAAUAAAUGAAUAUACAAUACGACAAGUUUUGCAUGCAAUUCAGAAAUUUAUUCCCUAUAUAAUGGGACACUUGUAACACUCUCAUACUCACCUCACUAACAUUGAUCAAUCGUCACUUCUUCAUAGCCAACCAAAUGGAGUUUGCACAUUUAUUUAUUUUAGAUAUGUUUUGUGCACCCGUAUAAGACUAUAUGCCAUCAUUUAGAAAUUAAUCAAUAUUGAAAAAGUUGAAUUCAAUUGCCACCAAGUGCAAGCAAGAACCGCUUAUGUGGUCUCAUUGGUAGCCCUUAGUAGGGUUGUGCAAAAAGUUCGAUUAUAAGGUCUAAAUUUAAAAUCGGAUCCAAAUCCAUUUUAAAUAUCUGAUUAAAAUUAUAUGGUUAUAAUUCGGUUUAUUUAUAAACCGGUUGGAUAACUAUUUAUGUUUUAUAUUUGGAUUUGGUUUUUAUCCACUACCAAUAUUUUGUUAAUUUUGAGAAUUUAUUUCUUGAAAAAAAUUUGAAAUUUAUUUUUUUCAAAAAAGUAUCGGAAAAAAAUAUAAAAAAAAACUUUAUUUUCUCAGAAAAAUUUUAUAUCGAAGAGUAAAAUUUUAAAAAAAGUUAUUGAAAAAAUCGAUUUUUUUAAAUAACCGAUUUUUAAACUAUGAAUAAAUGAUUUUUGAAAAAAUAAUCAAACUUUAAUCAAUUUUGAAAAAAAAAAUCGAUUUUAAAAUUAAAAUUUUCAAAAUCAGUUGCUUAAUUAUUAACUGGUUAUUUAACCAUAACCAAUUUUACAAUUGAUUUUAUAACCGCAUUUAAACCAAAUAUUGACUUGUUUAUAAAUCUAAAUCCAUAUAUUAGUUUUAAAAUAGAUAUGAUUUGAUUUUUUUUUUAAACCAACUAUGGACAGUCUUACCUGAUAGAACUAAGGUUAACGCUUUAACAAUUUGUUACUGUUGAAUUUUGAAUUUCAAAAACUAUUUAAAAUUCACAAUUUAUGCCACCGAAGAUAUUACUGGGUUGAGUCGCGGACUAGGUCGCUCUCUUUAAGACGUUUCGCGACACUGCCCAAAUUGUGCAAGGCCGACUAUCAACCACGAAGUCCCCAGGAUAAAACAGCCCAGAUUCACUGUAUCGGAGUUCCACUGCACCGUGGAAAACCGUUCUAGAAUUACACCCUCAAUAUGGCAGUUUAAGCCACUCUCAAUAUGACAAUUAAAGUCACUCUCAAUAUGGUACUAUGACCAUUCAUAACUACGGUAUAAUAACCGCUCAAAAAGACAAACAAACGAAUGGACUACGGCAUAAUAACCGCUCAAAAAGACAAACAAACGAAUGGACUACGGCAUAAUAACCGCUCUAAAAACAAAGUGAUUACGGCAUAGCAACCGCUCUAAAAACAAAAGAACUACGGCAUAACAACCGCUUUAAAACCGAAGGGACUACGACAUAAUAACCGCUCUAAAACCGAAGGGACUGUGGCAUAAUAACCGCUUUAAAACUGAAGGGACUGCGGCAUAAUAACCGCUCUAAAACCGAAGGGACUGCGGCAUAAUAACCGCUCUAAAACCGAAGGGACUGCGGCAUAAUAACCGCUCUAAAACCGAAGGGACUGCGGCAUAAUAACCGCUCUAAAACCGAAGGGACAGAAAUAAAGGGGAGAAGUUGCUCGAAAAUUAGGCGAGCAGAAUAUAAGAGGGAGAAAAGAGAAAGUUGGGAAAAGCAUCCAACUUUGGUGUGUUUUUCACAAUAGCUUGAAACUCAUUAUAUAGUGAUGGAAGCAAAGUCACAUAUGUUUUCUAAACAAUGUGGGACUUUAGUAUGUAUAGAAUUAAAACUACACAAAACAUGAUAGUUUUUCAAAGUGGGAUUUCAAAAAAUAUUCUUACCAAUGUGGGACUUGAAUUUUAAAAAACAAGUUUCUUUCCACUUAAAUUUACAAAAAAUAUUUAUUUCCAAUGUGGGACUUCAACACAUUUUUAAAUUCACACUAUAACAUACAUAUGUUCCAACAAUCCCCCACUUGAAUUUAAAAAAGUUUCUUAAAAUAACAUCAAGUUAAAAUUUUUUUCUUAAAAUAGCAUCAAGUGCUUCUAUAAGAUCAUGCAUAAACAAAUGUGUCUUUCGACUUGAACCUUUGCAUAGCGAGUAAGAUUCAGAUUCAACAAGAGUAACCGUAGUUUUGAACUCUAUCUCUGACAUCAAACCCACACACAACCUUGUCAUUAGGUGUAUUCUAAAAAGCCCGUGCAUUUAGGGCCCUGCACGUGUAUCCCAGUCUAGUGAACGCUAUAGGAAUUCUGCCUCGAAAUUCCAUAGGAAGCGGCCCCCACUUCCACAUUCACGUAGAUGAGUCUAUCAAGAGUACUCCUGUAGCCACUAGGUACCCCACUCCAUAUAGAGUAUAGAUCUCAUUAAGAGUUUCUAUUAUCUCAUCCUUUUAUCGCUUCAGGAAUCAUGCUUCUCAUUUUAAACAUAGCAUGUUCAUCUCAUAUCACUAUGACUUGUUAUUACCCAUUGAACCUAAUUCUUGGGAUCUCCAGUCUUUUAGGUCGGGUUACCAUCAUAAGUGACUCAUUUAUCUAUAGGCAUUAGUCCCAUCCUUUUGGAUGUAUUUUGGACUUUCUCUCUAGCUAAUCCUUUCGUCAAAGGAUCAGCUAAAUUUUCAUCAGUGCGUACAUGAUCCACAAUAACAGCUCCUUUCGAAAGUAAUUCUCUAAUUGUGCUGUGCUUACGACGUAUUUGUCGUCUCUUACCGUUAUAAUAAUGAUUCUCAAUUUUUGCAAUAGCCGCGGUACUAUCACAGUGGAUCAACACAGCUGGUAACGACUUAUCCCAUAAAGGGAUUUCUGUUAGCAAGCAUCUCAACCACCUUGCUUCUUCACUAGUAGUAGCUAGUGCUAUCAUUUCAGACUCCAUAGUGGACUGAGCGAAUAUCGUCUGUUCUUCGAUUUCCAAGAUACAAUACCAUUCACUAUAUUAAAAUAUAGUCAUCGAUUGCUUUGGAGUCAUCUGAUAAGAUGUUCCAAUCAGCAUCAUUGUAUCCUUCAAGGAUAGUAGGAAAUCUUCGAUAAUAUAAUCCGAGACUCAUGGUCCUUUUCAGGUAUCUCAUGACUCUUUCCAUAGCGUGCCAAUGCUCCAUACUAGGUCUACUAGUAAACCUGCACAAUAACCCCACGACAUAGGCAAUGUCGGGUCUAGUACAAUCAGGGGCAUCCCUGAGGCNNNNNNNNNNNNNNNNNNNNNNNNNNNNNNNNNNNNNNNNNNNNNNNNNNNNNNNNNNNNNNNNNNNNNNNNNNNNNNNNNNNNNNNNNNNNNNNNNNNNNNNNNNNNNNNNNNNNNNNNNNNNNNNNNNNNNNNNNNNNNNNNNNNNNNNNNNNNNNNNNNNNNNNNNNNNNNNNNNNNNNNNNNNNNNNNNNNNNNNNNNNNNNNNNNNNNNNNNNNNNNNNNNNNNNNNNNNNNNNNNNNNNNNNNNNNNNNNNNNNNNNNNNNNNNNNNNNNNNNNNNNNNNNNNNNNNNNNNNNNNNNNNNNNNNNNNNNNNNNNNNNNNNNNNNNNNNNNNNNNNNNNNNNNNNNNNNNNNNNNNNNNNNNNNNNNNNNNNNNNNNNNNNNNNNNNNNNNNNNNNNNNNNNNNNNNNNNNNNNNNNNNNNNNNNNNNNNNNNNNNNNNNNNNNNNNNNNNNNNNNNNNNNNNNNNNNNNNNNNNNNNNNNNNNNNNNNNNNNNNNNNNNNNNNNNNNNNNNNNNNNNNNNNNNNNNNNNNNNNNNNNNNNNNNNNNNNNNNNNNNNNNNNNNNNNNNNNNNNNNNNNNNNNNNNNNNNNNNNNNNNNNNNNNNNNNNNNNNNNNNNNNNNNNNNNNNNNNNNNNNNNNNNNNNNNNNNNNNNNNNNNNNNNNNNNGUGCCUUGUAUUUAUCAACAGAUCCAUCGGGUUUUAGUUUCUUUUCCAAAAUCCAUUUACAAACUAUUGGUUUGCAACCAAGAGACAAGUAUACUAAAUGUCAGGUUCGAUUAGACUCUAGAGAAUCCAUUUCAUCGUUUAUAGCUUCUUGCCAUAGAUCUGCAUCCAAUGAUUACAUAGCUUCUUUCAGAUUUGUAGGAUCCUCUUCUAGAUUAUAAGCCAUAUAUUCUGGUCCAUAAUAUAUAGCAACUCUUACUCUGUUACUCCUUCAAGUUUCUGUUUCGUCUUUUAUUUUUUAUUUUUUUAUUGCUUUCAAUGCUUCUUGUCACAUGAACUUGACUAAGUUCGCUUCCCCCACUAUUUCACAGUAACUUGACUAGGUUUGCUGCCCCCACUAUUUCUCAAUUUAAAAGGGGAUUUAUUUUCAUAGAAGUCAACUUCAUUUGACUUUAUGAUCACUUUUGCGUUUAAGUCAUAAAACCUAUACGCUUUGUUCUUUACCGCAUACCCAAUGAAUUCUCAUUCAUAGGCUCUACUGGCGAGUUUAACUCGCUCGGGAUCGGGAUUCUGACAUAAGUCAGACCACCCCAUGUUUGAAAAUAAGACAAGUUCAAUUAUCUUUUCUUCACUAUCUCAUAAGGAGAUGUUUUGUUUUUAGAUUUAAGAACUCUAUUCAAAACAUAGCAAAUAAACAAUAUAUUUUCUUCACACCAAUGAGAUGUAGUACUAGAGUUAAACAUACUAGCAACAACUAGUUCAAUAAAAGUUAUAUUCUUUUUUUCUUUUCAACUUUACCAUUCACUUCAAGUAAUUAUGGUGUAGUUGUUCCAUGUAUAAUUCCAAACAAUUUAUAAAACUCAUUUAAUAAACUAAAUCAUACUUGGAAUCUCUUAAUCUUUAUACUAAAUUGAUUUUCAAUUUCAGCUGUAAAGAUCCUUAACAUGCCAAGCGUUUCACUUUUAUUUUUCAUUUCUUGGUAACGUCUCAUCAAGUUCACAUAUGUCAAAGUGUAAUAAAUCUAAAGACUUAGAUUCUCUAACUACAUAUUUAUGUGAACUCUUUGUUAUUUUAGAGUGACUAUAAAAAUCACAUUUUUCAAAAUCAUUUAACAAUAACUUUAGAAUUAAAACUAAGUUACUUAAUUUUGAAAUCAGAUGUGUUCACAUCACAUAGUCUAGCAUGUCAAAAUUAAAAUCACACAACAUGUAAGCAUAAACAGACAUUUUAUUGAUUUCAACAUUCAAACAAAAGAGACAUAUUAAAUUUCAAUAUUUAAUUUAAAUAUGCCAUGAAUGACGUACCUUAAUAGCUUAUCUCAUGAAUUAUCUUCUGAAUUCUACGGGAGUGUGCCUCCACGUCCAUGAAUCUAUCAGCCUCCAUGUGCCUCCACGGAUCUGUCAGCCUCCAUGUAUCAGACAUCUGAUACUCUCUGAUACUCUAGGUAGCAAUCACAACUUACUUAGAGUAUCUCAAACAUAUCUCGCAUUAUUGCUGGAACUGUAAUAGUUAUACAGAUCAUCAGCAAGUCGAUUAAGAAUAUAAUUCUUAUCAUUAUUCUCCCAUGGGUUAAUUCUCCAACUGUUUUAUCCUUUUCUAUUUGCUUCAAACUGAAACAGUUUAUCAAAAUGAGAGGCAACAUAACCAAAUCCAGUAAUCUCUUCGGUUGACAUGGCAGAACGAAACGUCUUAAAAUUGUUGGAUUUUGAAUUUCAAAAACUAUUUAAAAUUCACAAUUUAUGCCACCGAAGAUAUUACUGGGUUGAGUCGCGGACUAGGUCGCUCUCUUUAAGACGUUUCGCGGCACUGCCCAAAUUGUGCAAGGCAGACUAUCAACCACGAAGUCCCCAGGAUAAAACAGCCCAGAUUCACUGUAUCGGAGUUCCACUGCACCGUAGAAAACCGUUCUAGAAUUACACCCUCAAUAUGGCAGUUAAAGCCACUCUCAAUAUGACAAUUAAAGUCACUCUCAAUAUGGUACUAUGACCAUUCAUAACUACGGUAUAAUAACNNNNNNNNNNNNNNNNNNNNNNNNNNNNNNNNNNNNNNNNNNNNNNNNNNNNNNNNNNNNNNNNNNNNNNNNNNNNNNNNNNNNNNNNNNNNNNNNNNNNNNNNNNNNNNNNNNNNNNNNNNNNNNNNNNNNNNNNNNNNNNNNNNNNNNNNNNNNNNNNNNNNNNNNNNNNNNNNNNNNNNNNNNNNNNNNNNNNNNNNNNNNNNNNNNNNNNNNNNNNNNNNNNNNNNNNNNNNNNNNNNNNNNNNNNNNNNNNNNNNNNNNNNNNNNNNNNNNNNNNNNNNNNNNNNNNNNNNNNNNNNNNNNNNNNNNNNNNNNNNNNNNNNNNNNNNNNNNNNNNNNNNNNNNNNNNNNNNNNNNNNNNNNNNNNNNNNNNNNNNNNNNNNNNNNNNNNNNNNNNNNNNNNNNNNNNNNNNNNNNNNNNNNNNNNNNNNNNNNNNNNNNNNNNNNNNNNNNNNNNNNNNNNNNNNNNNNNNNNNNNNNNNNNNUAAGAGGGAGAAAAGAGAAAGUUGGGAAAAGCAUCCAACUUUGGUGUGUUUUUCACAAUAGCUUGAAACUCAUUAUAUAGUGAUGGAAGCAAAGUCACAUAUGUUUUCUAAACAAUGUGGGACUUUAGUAUGUAUAGAAUUAAAACUACACAAAACAUGAUAGUUUUUCAAAGUGGGAUUUCAAAAAAUAUUCUUACCAACGUGGGACUUGAAUUUUAAAAAACAAGUUUCUUUCCACUUAAAUUUACAAAAAAUAUUUCUUUCCAAUGUGGGACUUCAACACAUUUUUAAAUUCACACUAUAACAUACAUAUGUUCCAACAGUUACCGUGAUACAAGAGGUAUGAAUUCGGAAUUGCUUUAUGAAGUUCUUAAAAUAAAAUCUCGUAUAUUUAAAAUAAAAUUAGUUAGUUCUAUUCUAGUUAGAAGUAGAACUACCGGUGUAUUUUUAUAUGACCGGCAAACAACUUAGUAUCCUAUUACCAAUAGAUCAAUGUAUAUUUGAAAUUGAUAAUGAAAAAAAAAAAUUAUUUGAUAUAAUAUUUUGUUGAUAUAUGUACUUUUAAAGAGUAGUCUGUGACCACAAAAAAUAAUAAUUCUGGUUAAGAUUUAAAUUACAUUUAGCCACAAAUUUAUAGGUUGUUUCAUUUUAUCAAAUUAAUUAAAACAAUAAGUUGUAUCUUAUUUAGGGGUGGAAAUAGGUCAGGUCAGACCAAACUUUGAAAGACCUGAGUCUGGCCUACAAUUAAUUUUUUAGGCUUAAGCCUGACCUACGACCUAUUAUAGACUUUUUUUCGGCCUGACCUAACCUUUUCAAAAGUCUGGCCUGACUUGGAAGCCUAUUUAAAAGUCUUAUUCAUAUUAAAACAUUUAAAUGUUCUACUCAUACCACAUGUUCUCUACAUACCAAUAUCAAUGUACAUAUCUAUAUAUAUUAAACACAAAAUAAUUUUUCUAACAAAAUAAUUUUUAAACCCUAAAAAGAUUAUAUAUUAAAAAAAAUGUAGUAUAAAAAAUUGUUUAGUAAAAAAUAUUAAAGCACGUGUGGUUCAAUAUUUUUUGUUCUUAAACUCUAAGUUUAAAAUUUUAAAUUUAUAAAUUAUUGGACCUUUAUAGUUGAAUCUGUAAAAAAUUAUUGACAUUUUUUAAUCCUUAGACUUGAAUUAAAACCUUAUAAAAUUUAUGAAGAACAACAAAAAAAUUUAGAUUAUUUUUCUUAAGAAUCUCUUUUUUCAAUAAUUAUUCAUUCCUACUCACAUGUCAAAAAAAUUCUCUCUUGUUAAGAUGAUGGUUAAAUGGGAUCUUGACAUCUUGUCAUGCAAAAGUAUAAAAGUAUAUGUUUUGAUUGCAUUGAACAUAAGAAAAUUCAUUAUCAUUAUCUUAAUCAUAAGAUCCAAGCUGAAUUGAUUAAUAUGUAUAAAAAACAUAACAAAUUGAUUACUAUCACAUCAAAUAUAAUGAAAUGCAUUAUCAUAAUAUGACUUAUAAUAAAAUAAAGAACAUGAAUAAAAAUAAAAUGUAGCACCAAAUUCAAACUUCACACAUGACACCAAAAUUUUCAAGAAGGACUUUGUAAACACUCGUAACUUUUCUACAUUCAUUUAGCACUUCAUCCUCUUCUUAUCUCUCUCUUUCUAUUAGAUCACUAUCAUAUCACAUACAUUGCAUUAUUUUCUCUAUUAUUUCCUAUGAAGGUGUUGAUGAGGAGUAUGGAUAUCCAAAUAUAAUUUUUAAUUAGUUACAUAUGAUGUAGUGAAGUGUAAAUUAACAAACCAACUUCACAUAUCAACUCUUAUAUUUAAACCCCUCUAAUUUCUAUACACGCAUUCAAUACUUCAUUUUUUUUUCUCUAUUUCUCUUUCUUCCUAUGACAUUACUAACAUAUCACAUCUAUGAAAUUAUUAUAUUUUUUUGAUGCCAUGGUGUCAAAUUAGUGUUUGUAUAUCCACCAAGACUUCAUAUAAUUUGGGCAAACCAAAAGAAUGGUCCAUCUUGGACCAUCUUACCAUUUUAUUAUAACCUUAAAUAUAUUAUUAAAUAACUUCGACCAUGGACCAUCUUACCAUUUUAUUGUAACUAUAAAUAUAUUAUUAAACACUUGGAUGGUCCCAAUGCAUUUGNNNNNNNNNNNNNNNNNNNNNNNNNNGGAAAGAGAAAGUAGAGGAGAAACUAUGCCAAUAUUGAUUAGUUAGAUUUAGUGUAGAUGGUCCUUGAUAAGAUGUGGUGGAUGAUCAAAUAUAAUGGUGAAAAACAAUAGACCAACAUAGACCAAUGCCUCCAAUGUGUGAAUGCUAAAAGGAACUUUCACCAAACAUUUUUCCUUUACAUAUACAAUAACAAUAUUGUGUACAAUUGCAAGAUUGUGAUUCGAAGAUGGUUAUACACUGAUGGUGAUUCGAUAUUAGUAAUUUGGUAAUUGUGUUACGAUAAUAGAGAAAAGAGAAAAUAAUUAUAAUCCCCAAACUUAUUUAUGAUUUUGAAUGGAGGGACUAAUACAUAACACCUUCAACUUUUUUUCUUUUUUUUUUAAAACAAUUUAAUCAUUUAAUUUUAUUUUUUUAAUUAUUUAAUUUAUUCAAACUUACAAGGACGAAAAUGAGAAAGACACAAACUUAUAUGGACAAAUGAAAUAUCACGUCACUCACCGAUUUGUCACAUAAGUGUUUUGUUAACAACAACUAACGACAAAUAUUAUUUAAAAACUAAAUUAAACUUACAAAGUUUAAAUUGAAGAAGAAAAAAAAAACUUACAAGAACGGAAAUGAGAAAGUCGAAAACUUACAGUGACAAACAAAAUAUUUAAACCAUUUAUUUAUAAACAACUAGACGUCUAUCCGUGCUUCACACGAGUUGUCUAAAAAAUUUAUAUGAGAAAAGAGGACUAUAGUAUAAUAGUCUUAGUUUAUCAACGUAAGAAGAAGAAAAAAAGAUGAUACGUAAUAGUUGUAUCUUGUCUCUGAUCAUCAACUAUAAAUAUAUUUAAACUAUUUCUUGAUGUAACUCUUAAAAUUGUAACAUAUAAUUUUCUAGGUGAGAACAUAUUUUGAGGUAGAUAAACACUUACAUGCAUUAAAGAUGGACCCUUUUUUGAUGAAAACUUUAAAUAAUGUUGCGAAAAAGUCUCAUAGUCAAAGACCACAUAAACACAAAAUUUCACAAUAGGUUUAUGUGUUUACCUAUUGAAGCUUAGAAAAAACGAUCACCAAUAUCGCAAAUGAACAUCACUUCUACUCAAUCCACAUGCACGAUCAACCUUGGGAGAGCGUCGNNNNNNNNNNNNNNNNNNNNNNNNNNNNNNNNNNNNNNNNNNNNNNNNNNNNNNNNNNNNNNNNNNNNNNNNNNNNNNGUCGUGAUAACACAUAGAGAGAUGGAGGCACAAUUGUGUGUUUGUAAAAAAAAGGGUUAAGGAGGCAUAACCAUAUCUUAUAUAUAGGUCCUUAUUCCUAUUUUCACUUACCCUUAUCGGGCCUAAUACAUUGCGAGUCUAAAUUUCUAAUUUAAUUAAAUAUCAUUUUUCUAAUUAAUCACUCUAUACAUGUGACCUUAUAGGUUUCCACUAAGUUGACAAUAAUAUAAAAUAUUAUAAGUAAUGAGUGACACCCAACAAUGCAUCAUUUUUCCCCAAUUUAUGAAAAAACUGGUAAUCUGAUUUUAAACUUUUUACGAUCAUCUAAAUGUCUAAUUUAAUGCAAGUUAUAAUGUGUGUCACCCUCUUGCAAUGUCCAAUUAUCUAUUUCUCGGCCCUAGAGUAGACACAUAAGUAACAAUGCAUCCAAUAUCACAUAUUAUUCCAUUCUAGUUUGGCCAUACAUCUCCAUGGUCUUGCUCCAUCGAGAGGCCAAACACCUAACUUAUAAUAUGUAAGAGAGACAAAUUCUAUCUAUAUCACACACACUCCUCUACAUAGUUAAUUGUAGAAUCAAUAACCACAUUUAUGAUUGUCUUGUUACAAACAAUGUUUGAUAGUCUUAAAGUAUACAACUUUCCUUGUAAGGAUCAUAUAGACUUCAAUUCGAAGGACUACUCACUAUGGUUGCAUGAGAAUUAGUCUUGUACAUCAUGUGAAUGUACAAAUUUACUUAGUGAGAUUUUAUAGUGACUAAAAUUAGUUUCACAAAAUAGUAGGAUUUUAUAAGGACUAAAAACUUGUUUAAUUCUAUACAUCAUGACAAACAUAUAUCAUAUUCAUGUAUUAUGUCAUGAACAAUUAGCCAUAGAUCUAGUCUUGAAUAAAAAUCAUGUAGGAUAUGAUCUUCCUUCACUUCUUUUUAAAAUGUUGAUAGGUAAGUAUAUAAUAACAUCAUGAUACUUUGCAAAUGUCUCAAGACGUAUUUAUAGAGAAAGUGAAGAGGAUACCUACCUUUUCAUGUAAGGUUAUAAUGGUUAACUAAUUAUUUUAUAAAUAUUCAUAAGGUAUCAAUUAAUACCCUUUUGUGAAGAGUUGAAAUGGUUCCAUCCAUCACGAUCCAUACCACUAUAGGCUACAUUAUUCAAGCGCACUCGCCAUAUGAUGUCCAAUAUCUUUUUGAUCACCAGAUAGAUAUUUCAUGACCUAUCAAAAUACCAUUCAACCAAAGUUUUAUAAAUCAAUGGAAGAUCAAUAGUUAGAAAUCAAAAUUCUUACAUUCUCUCACGCAGGAAACAUUGAUUUAGGAAAUAAAACAAAGAAGGUAGCAAGAAAAAAAAAACUUUGAAAUCAAAAUAAAUAAAAAAACUCAAUCAAAAAUCGAAUAAUUGUGGUGAUAUUAACAUCUUGACUAUAAUAACAAGUAAACAUGAUCACUUUCGACCAACAAGACUUAUCACUUAGAGCUAUAGGUUAAAUUAUAGAAACAUGUUAACUUAUAAAUGAUGCAUAUAUAAAGUUAAUAUGUAAGUCUAAUCAUGAUAAAACAAGUCGAUUAGUUUAAUAGACUACAAUCAUAAGAGUCAUUUAUAAAAAUUACAACAAUGACUUAUUAAUGAUAUUUAAAUUAACAAAAAAGAAGUAAACAAAACAAAUGAUAGUAUAUAACAUCCCCUUCAACUGUUAUAGUCCUUAUUAUUGAUAAUGGUAAGUGGUGAUGAUAAGUUUUUUAAAAUAUGUAUGUUUUGAUAAAACAUAUGUUUUUUGAUAUGAUAAUCGAUUAAUGUCAGAAUUUAAUCAAUUAGGAUAUAGUAAAAGGGUUAAACUAGUUAAGAAUUAUCAAGUAGUGAUGUAAGAGUAAUCUAUUAGUUUAAAUUUAGAUAAAAUAAUUGAUUAACAAAGAUAUGGUUAUUGAAAAGAAGGAUAUAUAGACUUUGUAAAAUAUGUACAUUAAAAAUAACAGAUUAGUAAGAUUGUGUUAAUCAAUUAAGAUAGUAAUCAUGAUUUAUUAUAUAAUAAGGUUAAGAAUAAUCAGUUAAGGAGUACUAGAUAAUCAAUUAGAUUGAGAAUCAUAAUCUAAUAGUGAAUAAGUUAUUAAUUUAUCUAUUAAAAACUUAGAGUUUAUCAAAACAAUAAACUAAGUUAUUGAUUAACUAGUAAUUAGGACUUAGAUAUUAAGUGAUGGUCUAAUGAAUUACAUUUAGGUUAGCAAGAUUAAUUGUUAAUUACAAUUAUUUGAUAGAUUGAUGAUAACUAUUAAUCUGUUGUGGUACACUUAAUCAUCUAUAUAUUGAGGAUAACUGUUAAUCUGAUUGUUGAUGAUGAAUGUUAUGUUCUACAUGUUAUGUGUGUUAAUAAUCCAUGUCAAUUACAUGAUGAAUAACCAAAGGCGGAAGCGUACCUGUGGGAAUUGCCAUUAAUGAAAUCCUAGGAUGAUGAUGAUAGAGCCAAUGGGUUGAGUGAUCUUCCUCAGCAAAACACUCUGAAGACAUUGCUCUCUUGAUGGGGAUAGAGAGAACCAGAGAGUUUUCUCCUUUAGGGUUUUGAAACUGAAUAGUCUUGUUGUGUUUGCCUUGGGGACCAUUACCCCUAUAUAUAACUAUUAUUAGUUAUAUCCCAAAUUGCAGUAUUUCCAAUUCAGCCCCUCAUUAAAUAAGAAACUGCCUGGUAUAUACACUAUUAAUUUUCAUAACUAUUAUGCUCUUUAGCCAUAAACUAUUAUAUAUUAUUUGACCCCUAGUUUAUUGGCUAAUUACAUAAUGACCCUAACACACUUUAUUAAUUAAUUACAUAUGUGACUCAUAAAUCUUACAAUCUCCCACUGUUCACACAUGUAUCCUUAGGAGUGUGUUAGACUUUAUGACGUCAAAAAAUGUCAUUAUAAUUACCUUGAGUAUAAUCCAAAUUGUCCCGUCCAUUAAUCAUAUUAGCACAUGGAACCAAAGAGGCUUUCGUCAUAAUAAGCAUAACUGAACUCAUCAAUGAUCACCCGUACUGACACAACUAAAUGACAUAGACCCAUUAUGAAAAGUGUAGCAUGAAAAUUACAUGAAGUCGGUCAAUGCAUGUCAAUUUUCAACUGGUCCUACUUUAUCGAAUGAGAUCAUACCAUAACUUAAAUGUACAAAGUAACCAAAAAACUGAAUACCUUAAACUUUAUUUCUGAUCAGAAAGUCCAAAUACAAUGUAUUUGUACUUUACAAUUAAACAUAGAACAUGAAUUACAUAAUGGACGAAACUCCCACUAAAAUCAAGAUUCCUCAAACUGUAGCACACCCAUGUGAGCAGUAUGCUCAUGAAAGACCUUGGGUGGUAGACCUUUAGUGAGUGGAUCCGCAAUCAUGGAGUUUGUCCUUAAGUGUUCUAUGGAUAUCUGUCCACUUUGUACCUUCUCUUUAACAACUAGGAACUUAAUGUCAAUGUGCUUUGACUUGGUUGAGCUCCUAUUAUUGUUAGAAUACAGGACUGCUGAUCUAUUGUCACAAUACAACUUGAGUGGUCUUUCAAUCCCUUCAACUAUUUGCAGCCCCGUGACAAAAUUUCUCAGCCAAAUGCCCUGGUCAGAUGCCUCAUGAAUUGCUACGAAUUCUGCUGCCAUGGUUGAUGAGGCAGUAAGACCUUGCUUGGCACUACGCCAAGAAACUGCUCCACCAGCUAACAGAAAGACAUAGCCUGAAGUUGAUCUUAAGCUGUCUUGGCAUCCCGCAAAAUCCGAGUCAGAGUACCCAGUGAUCUCUAACUGGUCUGACCUCCUAUAUGUGAGCAUGUAGUUUCUUGUUCUCUUCAAAUAUCUCAUGACCCUCUUGGCUGCUUUCCAAUGGUCAAGACCUGGAUUGCUUAAAUAUCUGCCUAAAAUCCCUACUAUGAACGCUAUGUCUGGACGCGUACAUACUUGGGCAUACAUAAGACUCCCUACAGCUGAAGCAUAAGGGAUCUUUUGCAUUUCUUGAAUUUCCAAACUUCCCUUAGGGCACUGUUUGAGACUAAACUUGUCUCCCUUAGCAACUGGGGUGUCCCCUGGUUUGCAAUCCUGUAACCCAAACCUUUUGAGAACCUUAUCGAUAUAGCUCUUUUGUGACAAUCCAAGAAUACCUCGAGAUCUGUCUCGGUGUAUCUGAAUUCCUAAUACAAAAGAGGCGUCACCAAGAUCUUUCAUCUCAAAAUGCUUUGAUAGAAAUUUCUUAGUUUCGUGCAACAUGCCUAUAUCGUUAGUGGCAAGCAGUAUGUCAUCAACAUACAAGACCAGGAAAAUAUGUCUGCUCCCACUGAACUUAUGAUACACACAAUCAUCAACUGUAUUCAUCUCAAAACCAAAUGAGAGAAUUACUUGAUGAAAUUUAUGGUACCAUUGACGAGAAGCUUGUUUUAGCCCAUAAAUGGAUUUUCUUAGUUUGCACACCAUAUUCUUUGGGUCUCCCAACACAAAGUUUUCUGGCUGCACCAUAUAGAUCGUCUCAUCAAUGUCGCCAUUGAGAAAAGCUGUUUUUACAUCCAUUUGAUGAAGCUCCAAAUUAAAGUGAGCAACAAGAGCCAUGAUUAUUCUUAAAGAGUCCUUCGAUGAAACCGGAGAGAAAGUCUCUUUAUAAUCAAUCCCUUCCUUUUGAGUAUAACCCUUAGCUACAAGACGUGCCUUAUAUCUCUCCACAUUACCAUUGGAAUCCCGCUUGGUUUUAAAAAUCCAUUUGCAACCAAUGGGUUUCUUUCCUUCAGGUAAUGGGAUAAGUUCCCAAACUGAAUUGUCUUGCAUAGACUUGUACUCCUCAUUCAUUGCUUCGAUCCACUUAUCUGAACGAGAAUCUUGCAUGGCUUGAUGAAAGUUGACUGGGUCGUCUUCCGUCAUGCCAACAUUUUCCUCUACCUCAUUGAUAAAUACUACAUAAUCAUCCGAAAUAGCAUUUUUCCUUUCUCUAGUGGAUCUCCGCAAUGGAGCUGGCUCUUGAGGCACUUGUUCUUGAGGAUCUUGAAUUUGAUCUGGAUUUUGUUCUUCCUGAACAACCAGAUCAUCUUGAGUUUGUUCAAUAAUGGGAAAGUCAAUUGGUGGAAGAAUCAGUUCUGGAAUUGUUACCGAUUCUUCCUCAAAGACAAAAUCUUUAACCUUAAUCUUCCCCCCAAACUCAAUAUCCUCAAAGAACGUUGCCGUUCCCGUCUCAAAAAUUGUUCUCAAAUUAGGAUCAUAAAAUUUAUAGCCCCUUGAUUUUUCUGAGUACCCUAUAAAAUAGCUGCUAAUUGUUCGGGGUUCAAAUUUCUUUUCAUUCGGCCUAUAAGGCCUUGCCUCAGCUGGACAUCCCCAAACAUGAAGGUGCUUCAGACUAGGCUUACGCCCAAUCCAAAGCUCAUAAGGUGUUUUAGCCGCUGCCUUAGUUGGUACUCUAUUAAGAAUGUAUGCUGCUGUUUUUAAUGCCUCUCCCCAGAGUGACUCUGGCAAGGUGGAAUGACAAAUCAUACUCCUUACCAUAUCCUUAAGAGUCCUGUUUCGUCUUUCAGCUACACCAUUCAUGCUGGGUGACCCCGGCAUAGUGUAUUGUGGGACGAUUCCACAUUCCUCUAGGUAUUUGGCAAAUGGUCCCGGACGUUGUUCACCUGAACCGUCAUAUCUGCCGUAGUAUUCACCACCACGAUCAGAUUUGACCUUUUUAAUUCUUUUAUUAAGUUGAUUCUCAACUUCUGCCUUAAAGGAUUUGAACACGUCUAUUGAUUGGGACUUUUCGUGAAUUAGGUAAAGGUAGGCAUAUCUAGAAUAAUCGUCUAUGAAUGAUAUAAAAUAUUGUUGACCAUUCCAAGAAGGAGUUGGAAAUGGCCCACAGAUGUCCGUAUGUAUCAAUUCUAAGACGUCUGUAGCUCUAUAUGCGCCUAAUUUCUUAUCUUUAGUCUGUUUUCCUUUAAUGCAUGCUACACAAACGUUAAAGUCUGUGAAGUCAAUGGAAUCUAAAAUUCCAUCUGACACAAGUCGUUCAACUCUAUUUUUAGAGAUGUGACCUAGACGCUUGUGCCAAAGCACCCCUGAAUUGAAAUUGUCAAUUUUCCGCUUAGUACCACGUGAUUCCACAUUCAAGGUUUCAUUAUAGUUAGCCACAGUUUCCAACAAAUAAAGAUUAUCAUAACCAGAAAGUAAACCGGUUCCAACAACAUUCGAAUUUAAAGACAAAGUAAAUUCUUUAUUCCCGAAUGAACAAUAAUAUCCUGAUUUGUCCAAAUAAGAAAUAGAGAUCAAAUUCCGUCUAAAUGACGGUACAACAAAAGUGUCUUUUAAAUCCAAAUAAUGACCGGAACUUAAUAAUAAUCUAAAUUUUCCUAUGGCUUCAACUUCUACCUUCUUCCCAUCUCCUACAUAGAUCCAUCUUUCAGUAUCACUAGGCUUUCGGAAGUUCAGGCAACCCUGCAUUGAAACACUGAUGUUAGUAGUUGCACCAGAGUCUAACCACCAAGUGUUUCUAGGUACUGAAGCUAAAUUAACCUCAGAACAGACCAAAGACAGAAUCAUACCUUUCUUAACACGCCAAGCGUGAUAUUUGGCACAAUCCUUCUUCACGUGUCCAGAACUCCUGCAGAAGAAGCAGUUGUUAUCCUUAGUCUGCUUCUUUUGUUCUGGACCCUUAGCAGCAGCUUUGUUCUUGGGCUCCUCAAUUCUUUUCCUUUUGCCCUUGUCUUUAGAGAUGCUAGUAAAGUGAGCACUUUCAGUCCUAUCUUGCUUCAGCCUGUCCUCUUCUUGCACACAUAAUGAAAUGAGCUCAUUAAGAGUCCAUUUCUCCUUUUGACAAUUAUAAGUCACCUUAAACUGACUGAAUUGCGAAGGAAGAGACAGCAAUACUAAAUGAAUGAGUAAGUCAUCUGACAACUCAAGCUUUAGACCUUUAAGCUUAGAAGCAAUGUUGGACAUCAUCAUAAUGUGCUCUCUUAUAUUUCCCUUGCCUUGAUACUUCAUGGAAAUUAAAUUCUGAAGCAAAGAACUUGUUUCAGCCUUAUCACUUUUUACAAAGCGUUUUUCCAUCUCAACAANNNNNNNNNNNNNNNNNNNNNNNNNNNNNNNNNNNNNNNNNNNNNNNNNNNNNNNNNNNNNNNNNNNNNNNNNNNNNNNNNNNNNNNNNNNNNNNNNNNNNNNNNNNNNNNNNNNNNNNNNNNNNNNNNNNNNNNNNNNNNNNNNNNNNNNNNNNNNNNNNNNNNNNNNNNNNNNNNNNNNNNNNNNNNNNNNNNNNNNNNNNNNNNNNNNNNNNNNNNNNNNNNNNNNNNNNNNNNNNNNNNNNNNNNNNNNNNNNNNNNNNNNNNNNNNNNNNNNNNNNNNNNNNNNNNNNNNNNNNNNNNNNNNNNNNNNNNNNNNNNNNNNNNNNNNNNNNNNNNNNNNNNNNNNNNNNNNNNNNNNNNNNNNNNNNNNNNNNNNNNNNNNNNNNNNNNNNNNNNNNNNNNNNNNNNNNNNNNNNNNNNNNNNNNNNNNNNNNNNNNNNNNNNNNNNNNNNNNNNNNNNNNNNNNNNNNNNNNNNNNNNNNNNNNNNNNNNNNNNNNNNNNNNNNNNNNNNNNNNNNNNNNNNNNNNNNNNNNNNNNNNNNNNNNNNNNNNNNNNNNNNNNNNNNNNNNNNNNNNNNNNNNNNNNNNNNNNNNNNNNNNNNNNNNNNNNNNNNNNNNNNNNNNNNNNNNNNNNNNNNNNNNNNNNNNNNNNNNNNNNNNNNNNNNNNNNNNNNNNNNNNNNNNNNNNNNNNNNNNNNNNNNNNNNNNNNNNNNNNNNNNNNNNNNNNNNNNNNNNNNNNNCCAUCAAGGACAUGAAUAGAACUCAAAUUUGCAGAUAUGGAAGCAACCGAUGCUGUAAAUUAAAUAAAGAACGAAACUUAGAAACUCACAUUAUGAGAAAAUAAAUCAAUAAAUAAAUAAAUACAUAUGUUCAAAUCAUGGAAUUUAACCCAUCUCAAGAUACCCAGUGCACCAUUGAUGUCAAGUCUUUGGACAGUAACACCAACUGCUAGUGGUACUCUUGUUGCAACGAUCAAAUAUUGACAAUAAGACAUGUCAAACUAUAAACCUUCCUUUGGGCCGAUUUACUGCUCACAUGUAUACCAAAUAAUUAUCACACAUUUAUCAUCGCAGGUGUACAUGUAAUUCUGCCAAAUGUUAACCUUCCUUUGGGCCGGUCAAUACCCGCAUGAAUAAGCAUAUACACAACCAUUUGAUACUCUUCACGAGCAAUUUAGACAAGAGAGGUCACUUUGGCGACGUCAAGUUUCAAUUAACUCAUUCAAAAGUGUCAAACUUGACUUGAACAUAUAUUUAUUAUAUCCAAAUAAAAUAAUAUAAAAAAAUAUAUUUAUAUCCAAAUAAAAUAAUAUUAAAAAUAAAAAAAAUUUAUAUUGGAAAAAAAUGAACAAAAUAUGAUAUAAUUUCAUUUAAAAAUUUCUAGUGUUGGUUCUUGGAGUUGUUCCAAAAUAGAUGAGAAUAAGUUCCAAUAACCAAGAUUCCAACCAUAUAAGUUUAUAAUUAGCCACCAAUAACUCAACAAAUUGAUAAAUAAAAAUUCUGGAGAAAACCCCAUGAAUCGGACAGAGAUGAAAUUUGCGGUAUUUUUAAUUGCUUUCCUUUUUACGAUAAAUAGAACAUAAAUCGGAGGACAGUAUUCUAAUGUUAAACUUCAAAAAAGAAUUGUUCUUGCCUUUGGCUGCCUGAAUGAACCGUAAGUACAACAAAAUAAUUGUGCCAGAGAAGAGGGGAAAAGUCCAGUCCAAAAAUUGAAAAACAGGGUAAACAGGAAGGAAAAAGGUUGAUGGUAACAUGCUGUUUAAAAAAUAAGAUUAAUCGUAUUUGUUCAUUUUAAUCGGAUGAUUGGAAUCUAGGCCUUAUUCUUGAGGCUAUAGUGCAGGAAAAUAAUAUAUAUAUCCAAAAUUCCCAAAAUACAAACCCUAAGAUUUCAAUCAUGUCAAAAUUCCCAAAUCGAAUCUUAAAACAAAGACGAUAACCGAAUUUCAUCAUGAAUUAAACAUGGUAGGCUCUGAUACCACUUGUUAAUAAUCCAUGUCAAUUACAUGAUGAAUAACCAAAGGCGGAAGCGUACCUGUGGGAAUUGCCAUUAAUGAAAUCCUAGGAUGAUGAUGAUAGAGUCAAUGGGUUGAGUGAUCUUCCUCGGCAAAACACCCUGAAGACCUUGCUCUCUUGAUGGGGAUAGAGAGAACCAGAGAGUUUUCUCCUUUAGGGUUUUGAAACUGAAUAGUCUUGUUGUGUUUGCCUUGGGGACCAUUACCCCUAUAUAUAACUAUUAUUAGUUAUAUCCCAAAUUGCAGUAUUUCCAAUUCAGCCCCUCAUUAAAUUAGAAUCUGCCUGGUAUCUACACUAUUAAUUUUCAUAACUAUUAUGCUCUUUAGCCAUAAACUAUUAUAUAUUAUUUGACCCCUAGUUUAUUGGCUAAUUACAUAAUGACCCUAACACACUUUAUUAAUUAAUUACAUAUGUGACCCAUAAAUCUUACAAUGUGUUGCAUUCAUAUAGUAUGUCAUGCUUUUGGAGAUUGUGUCAUGACAAAGUUUGAGCUCAACGACCGAGAAGACUUUGAGGAAAUUAUUGUAGUUCCUUGAGUUUUUAUUAAUUAUUUUUAAUUUUUAAGAGUAAGUUGUGCUUAUUGUUAGAUGUCUCGAUACUUAGAUAUCCUAUAGUUAUGAACAAUAAAUAAUUGUUUAAAAUCAUUUAAUUAAUAAUUAAUAUUAAUGGAUUAAGAAAUAGAUUAGUCGAUUUAGAUAAGUUGUGAAAUCGAUUAACACCUAAGCAUUACCGUGAUCAUGUUUUUACUCAAUCGAUUCAGUUUUGAUAAUAAUCGAUUAGUUAUUGGUUAUAAUUCAAAAAUAACAAUUUUCUUAGUCACUAGUAGUCGAUUUCACUUCUUAUCUUUUAUUAAUCAUUUGAUCACUUGACUUAGUUAUAUAAAUGUUUUAACAUCAAAUAUUUGUAGGUUUUUAUAUUGGUAACUUCGAGUGUCUCUUAAAUACUUAAACACUCAUAACUUUGUAAAAUAUAAAUUGAUUCUAUUAGGCAUGUCUCAUAAACCUUUGAUCUACACCUACAAUUAAUUUGUUAGAGUUGUUGUAGGGAAUAAUAAAAUAAGCUAUCAGGCAUAUGUGCUUUUAUAUAAUAAUUAAUUCGUGUUACUGAUCAAAGUGAUUAGUAUGUAGAAAAGAUAUAACUGAUUAGUUUAAGUUAAGAUAAAAUAAUCGAUUAGUUUGACUUUGAUAAUCACUUAGGAAGAUGUCUAAAAUUGAAUAAUGUCUAAGUUAAUUAAUCACCAAUUAGUGAAACCUAUUUUAUUGAUUAGAAUAGUAAUUAUGACCUAGAAUAUAUAAUUAGUUAAGAAUAAUAGACUAGUAGGAUUUGGUUAAUCAAUUAUGUAAUGAAUUAUAAGUAGAAAAAGGUUAUGUUAAGAAUUAAUCGAUUAUAGACUUACAAUUAAACGAUUAGAUAGGAAAUCAGAAUGAGAAAAUGACUAAAUUAUGAAUCAAUCAAUUAGAGUCUUAGAAUUACAUGAUUAGAUUAAGAAUUAGGACUAAGUUAAUGUUUAAGAAUGAUUGAUAUUGUUUGAUAUGUUGAUAAUAAAUGUUAAUUUGUCUAGCACUCAUAGUUGCAAAUAUGGGGUGAGUGGUAUUAGACAGUGAUUGUUGAUGAUGAAUAAUAUGUUUUUCAUGUUAUAUGUUGCAUUCAUAUAGUAAAGUAGUUUGGGGGUUGUGACAUGAUGGAAUAAGAGUUUGAAGCUUGAGGAAACCUUGAAGAAGUUAUCAAUAGAAAUGAAUUAUGCAAACACGAGGCACUGUAGGGGAACUAUGUUAAAUAUUGAAUCACCCUAACUAGAAACUUUUGUUUGUGCUAUAGUAGGUGACUUCUCUACCUAUAUCAAUCCAAAGUUAGAAGGAUUAGUGUUAAGUAGUUGGUCGUAAUCAUUAUUGUCGUGUUAUCAUGCAUUAAUGAUAUUGAUUAUUGUAUAUGCUAAAAUGUUGAUUAUGCAUUUAAUAUACUUUACUAUGCUUGAUUAUACCUUGAGAAUGACAACUUUGCUUCUUCUUCUUUUUUUGUUCCUUGUGGCUACUUACACACUACAUAUGUAGCUUGAUGAUGAUAUGGAAGCACGAAACAAUUGCUAACAAAUCAGAGAUAUAAUUGGCAUGUUGCCAAUGCAAUAGAUAUUAGUCUAUUUUCUAUUGAUUGUCGACAUAUUGAUCCACCAAUAAAUUGGGAUUGAAUAAAAUCAACUCUAAUUAGUGUGAUAAUUUUUGGAGUUGAGCUAUUUUGAUUUUGUCAUUUUCUUAUAUUUUUUAGUUGUAAUCUUUAUAUGCUUGAAUAUAUUUUAAUUAUGGAUUAAAUUUUCUCGUAAUUUGGGUGUGUGUGGGUAGUUAGCUCAACUGAUUUAAGCUAAGAGUUAAAUAAUUAAAGGAUCCGUGUUCAUAUUUAGGGUAGGAAAAAAUUAUGAUAGAAAAAAAAUACUAACAUAAUAACUAAUUAUUAACUUUGACCGGUUUAAAAAAAAAAAUACUCACACUUUAAUUAUAAUUACAACUUAAAAUAUUUUUAUGAAUGUCUUCCGUAAAGACAUAACACCAUUGGGAUGUUCCGUUGAAUACUGAAUCACCAUAACAAGACAUUCUUGUUUGUGGACUAGUAGGUGAAUUAUCAAACUCUAUCAACUUGUAGUUAGAAUAAUCUAGUAAGGAUUAGUUGACAAUUAAUUAUAAUUUUUUUUCAUGUUAUCUUGCAUUUUUUAUAUUGUUAAUGUUAUGUGUUAUGUUGUUGAUUAAUUAUUUAAUUUAAUUUUCUUUACACUGUUUGAUUAUAUCUUUAAGAACGAAGACUCAUCCUCAUUUAUUUUUAUUGUUGCUUCUUACACACUAUGUGUGUGGGUAGAUGAUUUAAUGAUAACAAAUGAAGCAAUCGCUAAUGAUGAAGAAACAAAAUGAUUGACAUGCCGCCAAUGCAUUUGUUGUAGUGAGUUAUGUUUGAUCGUCGAAACGCUGGUGUAUAUUAGUUCGAUUAGAGUGAAAUAGGAUCGACCCAACACAUUUGAAGGCCUAAAGUAAAUUUUAAUAUGAGACAUCAAAUGAAUUUUUUAAAUUUUAAUACGACAUCACUAAAUUAAUAUAAUUGAUGUUAUGUAAUAUUUUUUUUAAUUAAUUUAAUUUUGUUGAGACAAUAUUAAAUUUUUAAAAAUAUAUAUAUUUUAAUUUUAAAAAUAUUAAAAUAUGAGACUUUUUAUUAAGUACAUUUUUUUUGAGAUCUUUUAAUAAAGUAAAUUUUUUAUUUUUUAUGAAAAUUUAAAGUUUAUUGAUCUUACCCUAUGAUCGACCCUGAAGUGAAAAUUUGUGAUUAAAAAGCAUGUACCUAAUAUGUGACUCAAAUGUUACUUAUAUAAAAAUAUGUAGAUGAUCCAAUUAGGUGACUUACAAGUAAUUAUUGAGUAAUGUUCCUGAUGACAAUAUCCAUUGAACUUAGCAUUGAUUCUCUUUUGUCCAUUGGGUUUAUGUCUUCUUCUCUCGAUUUUGAGUUUAUGUAUUCUUUAGGGAUGACAAUGGGUAGAGUAUUAUAAUAUUCAUCCUCAUACAUGCGAUUUAAAAAAAUAUUCAAACUUGUGUUUGUAUCUACUUGAAUACCAAUUAUCAAUUUUAAUACUUGUAACUUUACCUUUUGGGUACUUAAGUGUCUGUACUUAUACCUAUUAUCCACGUUUUAACUAAAAUAGAUCAAUAAAUAAAUGAUAUUGUUGUGAUUAAAUUUAAAAAUUAUCCAAAUAUUGUAAAUUCAAUCAUAAAGUAUUAUAAACCAACAUCUAACUCAAAACAUUUCAAAUGAACACACGUUAUAAUGUAUAUUCAAAUAUCUAUAAUAAUACUUUAUGAAGUUGCAAGCCAUACGGCGGAAUUAUUCGAGAUUUGUAAAAAAAAUUGAUAAAAAGUUACAAGUAUAAUUAUAAAGUCAUCUUAAUAAGACAUAACUCUUAGUUAUAAAGUCACAAUUAUUUACCUAUUUAUCAAAAUCAAAUUCUUAAAAAAUUUGCAAACGUUUAUCUUUUGAUUAUAAAUAUUAUAGUGGUUCAAUGAAAUUAAUAUAUGUUAAAACAUAAAAAAAAACAAUCAAUCAAACUAAAUAUUAAUAUAAUAUAAUAAAUAAAUAAAUAAAUAAUUUUACGGAUAAUUAUCUAUUCUAGUAUUCAUUUUUACUAUGCGGUUUUUUAUUCUAAUUAUUAUAGAUUUUGUGGAUUUAUGUCUUCUUCCUUCGGGUUUUGGCUCAACAAGUAGCUGGAUCUUUGCUGACUCUGAGUUGGACACGGGCCAAUAUUAGGAACAAUAAUUGAACACAAUAGAAAAAUGCACAAAUAAACAUUUUCACGAGUAAUAAUAAUUAGAGUUUAUUAGAAAUGUAUGAUUGAUGUAAAAUAAUUUUAAAUAAUUAUUUUAGUAUAAUUUCAUGAUUUUGCCACAUAGCUCCACUUCAUAAUCGCAAAAUAUUGUUAAAUAUUAAUAUAAAAGUAAUUUACAAUAAUAAUAUAUCUUUUCUUUUCUCAAAUAAUUAACAUAACAAUAACUAUUGUUAAUAAAGUAAUAAUAUUAACCAUUAUCUUUGGCAAACCCUCUCUCAGAUCCAAUUACAAUAAAAGGAACAAAACGGCAAGAAGAAUCUAUCCAUAGGAAUAAUAACAUGAAGAAUCGUACAGAAUUCCACAACAUAUGUUACACAUUUAUUUAGUUUGACGGAAUAAUUUAUUAAUUCAUCAUUUUAUUAAUUUUGUACGCUAUUGACAGUGUGUCAUCAACUUCUCCUCUGUUCAAAGUCGACUUUUCUUGAGUGGUCCCAUUUUCUUAGCCAUAUCUCUAAGGACAAAUUUCUGUAUCUUCCCAGUAGACGUCUUCGGAAGUUCAUCUAUCAAAACCACCGUUUUCGGAACCAUAUAAUGCGGCAAAUUCUUCCUACAAUACUCAACUAUCUCUUUCUCCUUCGGUAUUUCCUUUUCCUUCAAUCCGUUUUUCAAACUCACAAACGCACACGGCGUUUCUCCCCAAAACUCAUCGGCUCUCGCCACCACCGCUGCCUCAUUCACAGCCGGAUGUCCGUACAACACCGAUUCAACCUCCACACUACUCAGAUUCUCUCCGCCACUAAUUAUCACAUCUUUAGAUCUAUCUUUAAUCUCUAAAUAACCGUCUUCAUGCAUCACACCAACGUCGCCGGUGUAAAACCAACCGUUCCUUAAACAACUCGCUGUUCCUUCAGGAUCCUUCAAAUACCCUAACAUAACGCAACCGCCUCUCAUAACAACUUCGCCGAGCGUUGCUCCGUCGCGUUUUACGCUAUCUCCGUUGGGAUCCACCACGUCAACAUUAGUCAUUCCGAUUGUUCUCACUCCCUGGCGUGACUUCAAUCGCGCUCUCUCCGUCGCCGGGAGACGGUUCCAUUUGUUUUUCCACGAGCAGGAAACCACUAACCCGCCGGUUUCCGUUAAACCGUAGCCGUGACUCACCUCAAAACCUAACGACUCCGUACGGUAAAGAACGGCGGCGGGUGGCGGUGCUCCGGCGGUUAGGAUGUGAACUUUAUGUUGUAACGGUUUGUUAUCAGGUGAGUUUGUUAGCAUGUUGAGAACAACCGGAGCACCGCACAUGUGUGUCACGUGAUGCUUUUUUAUGAGAGUGAAAACGGUUUCAGCGUCGAAUUUUCUUACGCAGAUGUUAGUUCCUCCUACGGCUGCGAUUCCCCACGGGAAGCUCCACCCGUUAGCGUGGAAUAUAGGAAGCGUCCAGAGAAGAAUCGGUUGUUUAGGAACCGCCCAAUCGAUUAAAGAAUCAACGGUUACUAUGAAAGUUCCUCUGUGGGAAUGAACUACACCUUUUGGAGACGACGUCGUUCCCGAAGUAUAAUUAAGUAACAUUGGGUCCCAUUCAGUUUUUGGUGGAACCCACUUAAAUAAUGGAUCACCCUUCACCGUUAGAUCUUCAUAAGUUGAGAUGAAAUUGGAAUCAACGGUGGAUGAUGUUACUUCUUCGAAUGUUUCAUCUUUGAUAAGGAUAAGGAGAGGGCGUUGUAAAUUUGAAGGGAAUAAUAACAAGGCUUCGAGGACGAGAUCACGUGCGGCGCAGUCCACGAAAACUAGUUUAGACUCGGAGUGACGGAGUAUGGUUGAGAUGGUACGCGCGUCGAGGCGCGUGUUGAUGUUGUUGAGAAUUGCGCCGGUGAAAGGGACGGCGAAUUGGAGUUCGUACAUGGCGGGGAUGUUGGGAGCGAUGGCGGAGACGACGUUUCCGCGGCGGAUUCCGAGGGAGGUGAUUGAGGAGGCAAGUUGGAGACAUCGGUUGUGGGUUUGAGACCAGGUGAAAACGGUGUCGUUGUAGAUGAUGGAAGGGGUAUCACUGUAAAUUGUAGCUGCUCUUUCUAAGAAGCCGAGUGGUGUUAGAGGGGAAUUGUUAGCUGCACUUGGUUUGAGUUGUUCCAUUGGCAAAAAUUGAUAGGAUUGGAUGGUGAAUGAAAUGUACCAACCAAGGUGUUUCAAAAAAAUAGUCUAUACUAAGUUGGAGAUAAGAUUUAAUACAUUUAUAAUAAAAAAUAUCAAGUGGAUAUCUUCGUAAAUAAAUAAAAUAACGUGAGAUAGAUGUGAUAUGCUCCUACGUUAAUUGAUAUCUGUUUCUAAUUUAAUGAAGAGAAAAAUAUGGGGUUAAGAAAUUAGAAAUGUUUAUAUAUUAUUGUUGAUUUAUAAUAUAAAAAAUAGAGAUAUUUUAUACGAUGAUAUGUUGAAGUCUGUUGUUGUCUUCAAAACGUAAUCCCACUUGUACAAAGGUAAUGUUGUUAAAGAUGGGAGAGAUGCACCAAAUUAAAUGGAGGACUUAUAUGGCAAGUGUUGUUUAAAAAAGGAAAAAUCCACUUUAUUUAUAAUAAAAAGAACAGCGAACUAUUCUUUCAUAUGCAUCUCCUCUACUAAGAAAGAGGAACAAGAAAAGAAAGUGAGAAAAAAAAAAAAAAAAAAAAACAGGAUGCAAUGUGAUAAAUAAACUGAAUUUUUAUUGACAAAUGAUAAAUUACUUGGGUUACUAACCCGUGCUAAGAGUUAGUUUGCACUCAUAAACAUAUAUAUUAUAAGAAAUUUUAUUUAUGAUAUUAUUAUUUUAAUAAUAAUUAUAUUUUGUUAAUAAAUAUAAAAAAAGUAUUUAUUAAUUUUUAGCAAUGAACAAUACAGAUUGAGUCACAUAAUGAAUAAAUAUUAGAUUUAAAAAUACAUUAUUUACUUUGAAUUGUGAAUGAUUUAAUCUAUUUACUUUGACUUUAAUAUUGAUAUUUUAUCAUAAUUUGACUACUUAAAUUUUUUUUUAAAUCAACAUCGUAUAUAAAAUUUAAUUAUGAGUUAAGGACUAAUGUUCUUACAACUACAACUGAAUUUUAUAUACGAUGCUGAUUUAAAAAAAAUUUAAGUAGUCAAAUUAUGAUAAAAUAUCAAUAUUAAAGUCAAAGUAAAUAGAUUAAAUUAUUCACAAUUCAAAGUAAAUAAUGUAUUUUUAAAUCUAAUAUUUAUUCAUUAUGUGACUCAAUGUGAGUAAAGAAUUUAGUCCUUAACUCAUAAUUUUUUUACUUUUCCAUAUUUAAAGUAUGUGAGUUUAGAUAUUAGAAUAUUUAAAAGAAAAAAAAACUCUUGUAACGUAUAUAAAUUUAAGAUUUAAAAUUUUAAAUCUCAUGCUCCAAAAAUACAACAUUAAAUCUCUUCUCUCAAUUUUUUCUCUUUCUGAAACUUUUCAUAUGUUAUACCUGUGUAUAGUUUAUAUUAAAAUUUUAUCAUGUUAUUCCUAUUAAAUAAUUUAAAAUAGAAUACUGUGUAAUUCAUAUUAAAAUUUUCAUUCAUAAUAAUUAAGAAAAUAAUUUUUAUUUAUGUUUAAAUGUUUAAUUUUCUUACAAGAAGCCAAUGUCAUGGUAGGUGAUGGAAGGGGUAUCAACGUAAAUUGUAGCUGCGCUUUCUAAGAAAGUCGAGUGGUGUGACCGUGUGAGAGGGAAAUUUUUAAGUGCGCUUGGUUGUCGUUACCUUCACUUUAGUAUUAAACUGACAGAUUUGGAUAGUGAAAAAAAAAAAAAAAAAAAGGUGUUCCAAUAAUAAAAAAGAGUAUCAAUAAACAGUUGGACAAGUUUAUUAUUAUAGAUUAAAAAAAAAAGUAACUCUAACUUUAUAUUUUUACAAAUUAUUUUAAUGGAAAUUAUUUAAAAAUAAAAAAUGUUAUUUUGAAUAAAUUUAUUAAAAAAUAAAAAAAUUAAUUUUAAUAUUUAAUAAUUUAGAUAAUUAUUUUUAGAAUUUUAAUAUAAUAAAAAUAUAUAUCGAAAAUGGUUUGUUUAAGAAGCUACUUAAAAUAACUUAUCAUUUUAAGCCUUUUUAAAAAUUGUAUUAUCUAACAAAAAAUUGUAGCAAAAUGAUUAAAUACUUAACCUGAAUUUCUUUUUAAAAGCUAUUCAAAUCCAAAAUCAGUUUUUAAAAAUGAUUUUCAGCUAUUGAAGAUAUUUAGGUUGAGUUAUAGACUAAAUCGUUUUCUUUAAGAUGUUUAACAACACUGACUAAAAUUAUGCAACUAGAGUAUCAAUCACUUCAUCCCCAUGGUAAAAACAACUCAGUUACAAAAAUGUAUCGGUGUCUACUACACAAUAGAAAAUUGUUCAAAAAUUACAUCAUAAAUAUGACUAUAAUGGCCACCAGCUAAGUGAACAGACUAUUGUUGAGACAAACUCCAUAUUUAAAGUUUUGAUGAAAAUAAACAAAUGUUAAUUAAGAAAGUUAAUUAUGAUUUUAAAAUGUUAUGUUAAUUUAAUUUGCGCUUUUAUGCUUUUGAGUGAAUUUAUUUAAAGAACAGAAUCAAGCAAAGCAGAAAAGACAACAAUAAGAACAUUCUGCACAAAAACAGAGAAUGAUCUCCAGUUUCAAGAGUGUUCAUCACAACAUAUUGACCAAUCAUUCUCCACCUCUUUAACAAAAAUUCUGCCUCGAAAUUUCAUUCAAAUAGAAUCAGUACAUGGCAAGGAACAAGUAUGAUUCAUCACAGAUCAGAAAAGGCUAUUUGAUCACUAAAAUAAAAGGACUCAAAAAACAGUCAAAAAUAAGAAUAAUUUGUAACUCUAAAAUCAAACUGUCAAGAAAGUUUGAUCAACCUUGAUAUAUGAUAAGACAUUACAAAGGACAUCCAAAAUGAUCAAAACAGGAACUCCAGAUUGAUCAUCAAAUCUCCAGAAAGAUCAAAUUGACAGAUCCAGAUUGAUAAUCAAUCUCCUUUUUCUGCAUAACUCCAGCAGCAGUGUCUUCUCUUCUGCAAUGGCUUAUAAUUCUUCUCCAAACUCAAUUGGCUACAUUCAAGACUCAAGAUCGAAACUGUGCCAUUCAAGAUCAAGGAAGAAACUUCAAAGGCUUUUUAACUAGAAGACAAAAAUGAUUUAAAGCUUUAACAGAAAAGUCAAAAAGCAGUUUUUAAAUCAAUGGCUGGAUUAUUUUUAUUCUGAAAUAUUGGUUUCAGUCAAAAAUACAGAGCACUACCAACAGCUCUUUUUGACCCUCAUUAAAUGCUUUUAAAGCCUAUAAAUAGAAGGCCAAUAUCUAGGAGCAAAGCAAGAAAUUCAAGUGUUGUAAAAUCUCAAACAUCAAUCACAUACACAUACUUGAAGUUCUCAAAAUUCGCAAAGAAGAAGCAGUUCUAAAAAUCUCAUAUCAUAUUGCUUGAUCAUUACUGAUUUCUUUGUAAAGAAUCAAAUCUCAAACAAGUGUUGAGAUAUCUUAGAUUAUGUUAAAAUCAAUCUUAUUGUAAAAACUCAAACUAUAAGAGUUUCUUUAUAGUUUGUUUAGAUUGCAUUGAAUCCUAUCAAAGUUAGAUAGGUGUUGUUGUUGCUUUCUGGGUGGAAAGUAAUAGAGAUUAAAAUAGAUCAAGGUUGAUCUAGACUAGGUGCUGUAAAAUCAAAAAGGUUCUUUGUUUUAAACACUUAGUGGAAAAUCUCACAGUGUGAGGACUGGACGUAACCCAAGUUGGGUGAACCAGGAUAUUUCUUUGUGUGGUAUUCUCUAUCAUAUCUCUUUAUUUGUUAAACUUAAUUAACUAAGAUAAAACACAAACUAAUUUUCUAUUUUAAGCUAAUCAAGGAACGUUCUCUGUUUCUCUAUUUUUCUAACCAAUAUCAAUCUUGAGUUAUUUUCUUAAGUUUUUAACAGGAAUUUUUAAAAGUUACAUUUACAAUUCAAACCCCAUUCCUUGUAAAUCGACAUUGUUACUUCAACUACAACACGAAAACCUUUCUAAAAUCGAAGGAAUAAUGAUAUUAGAACCACUCUAAGACCGAAGGGUUAUAUGUAUUAGGAUCAGACUAAAAAUAUUGAAGGGAUGAAGAAUAGGGAGAAGUAACUUAGAAGUGCGUCGAACAGAAGAGGGAGAAGAAAAAAAGUUGAGAAUUGUAUUCAACUUUGAUGUCUUUUUCGCAAGAGUUUGACAUUCUUUAUAUAGUGAUGAAAGUUAUCUCAUAUGAAUACACUAUCGAAUGUAGGACUUUAGUGUUUAUAGAGUUGAAAACUAACCAAUGUGUGACUUUAAUAAUUUUUAAAUUAACACACACUAACAUACUCUCUAUACUCCAACAAUCUCUCACUUGAAUUUAAAAAAUUGUUUCUGAAGUAGCAUCAAACACUUCUAUAAGAUUGUGCAUAAAUAGAGAUAUUUUCUUACUUGAACCUUUGCAUAGUGAGUAAAACUUAAAUUCAAAGAAUGACUUGAAGUCUUGAAUUCUGUCUCUGAUAUCAAAUCCACAUAAAAUCUUUUCAUAUAGUGUAUUCUCAAAAGUUUGUGCAUCAAUGACACUGCACUUAUAUCCUAGUAUAGUGAACACUCUAACAACUAUGCCUCAUAAUUCCAUAAGAAGCGACCCGAUUUCCAUAUUCACAUAAAUGAGUAUAUCAAUAGUACUCUUGUAGCAAGGUACUCCACACCAUAUAAUGUAUAGAUCUCAUUAAGAGAUUCUAUUAUAUCAUCAUUUUAUUGCUUCAUGAAUCAUGCUUCAAUUUGUAAUAGCAUGCUCAUCUCAUAUUACUUCACAACUUGUUAUUACUCAUUGAACUUAAUUCUUGGGAUCUUAGGUCUUUUAGAUCUGAUUAUCAUCAUAAGUGACUUAUUCAUCUAAAGGUAAUAGUCUCAUCCUUUUGUAUAUGUUUAUGAAUCUCUCUCUAGUUAAUUCUUUUGUCAAAGGAUCAACUAAGUUUUUAUUGAUGCAUAAAAUCACUCAGUUGAAACUAGAGAGGAUAAACUCGCACAAUAAAAAAAUUUAAAAAGUAUAAAAGUGCAUUUAAACCUUAAAUUAUAUACCAAUAUUUUACUUAUAAAGGAACCACAUAUUUAGAUCACAUUUCAAAUAUGAAUAGUUAAAAACACCACAAUAAGAUGGAAAUAAAAUAAGAUAAUGGCAAAAAUCAAUUCACCAACAAAAUAACUAAAUAAGACAAGAAAAAUCCAAAAGAAAAAAUUAUUCGAAAAAAUAAAGACUAACCAAUAAGUAAGACAAUGAAUAUUGUACUACAUUGUUAGGGCUAUAAAUGAAUUGAGUUGAAUCGAAUUUAUGUUCAAUUGUACUCGAUUAAAAUUGGUUCAAUUCAAAAUUCAACUCGAGGUUUUCACGAACUUAUAUUUUAGUUCGAAUUUGACUCGAUUCAAGUUUACAAGCAACUUGGUUUGGUUCUAUAACUCAAAUCAAAUGAAUCAAAAGACAAAAACUUAAAAGAAAUAAUUGUGUUCUUUCAACUUUAAAUUAAAAUAUUAAUAUUAAUAAAAAUUAACUAAAUCCCAUAUAAUUUAAAUUUAAACUAGGGCUAAAAAUUAAUUUUUUUAAAUUAGUUUUCUCAAUACUUUUGAUUAUCUCAUGCAUUGGUGGUGCGCUUCUUAUAUAGGAGAAAAUGAGAGUGUAAGGGAUUAUAUUUCAUUGUUUGGAGUAGUUAAGUAAUUAUAGCUAGGGGACAUAGUUCAUUCCUCAACAUAAUCAUUUGAAGAAAAAUGAAUCACAAUUAAGAGCAAUUAGUUGUUUCUUCAACUAAUUCUUAAUCCCAACAAAAAAUUUGGCACGCCCAAUGGAAUAUUACAGUAGAGACCAUUGAAAAGUUCACUUCGUUAUAUCACAAUUACGUUUGGCAAAUGCACUUGAGUUAUGGUAAAUUUUUAACACUGUGGGACAACCAUCAUCAGCAUAAAAAAAGUCAAGCCAACAUAGGUCUAAUGACCCUCCCCAAAUGUUGGGAGUGUCUAAUAUGUGGUAUUUCCUAAUGCUUAUGGGGACAGGACAAUUGAUCUACUUGAGCAACCAUUGGUGAUGACCACAUAUUUCAUUAGACAACAAAUUGAAAGAAGGAUACAUGACAUCGUGUAUAAAGUCUCCCAACAACUUGCUGACAUUGUUAAACCUAUGGUUCAUAAUGAUGUUCAACAAGUUAGGAAGUUGGAGACAAAGCGAGCCAAUUCAUGUGAUAAUUUUGUCACUUUUGUAAUCCAAGGAGUACAAGGAAACCAAGGCCAAACAAACAUUGUAAUUCAAAAUCAAUCAAUCAAUCAUGACAACAACAUGACCUUCCUGGUGCAGUCGAAUCCUAUACAACAGAUACCUUUUAUUCCUAGCCUAGUACUUUUGUUACGACAAACCCUAUGGGGCACCCAUUGGUGAAUGAUACAUAUAAUCGGGCUAACCUUCAACAGCUGAACAAUAUGUCAAACACGAGAAGACAUGUUUUCGACCUAAUAAUUGGAAUUCAUAGGCUAAUUCUCACCAACCACAUGGUUAUUACCUGCAUGGAUCGACUAAUCCCUCAACACACCUGCCACGACCUGAUGUACCUUUACCAACUCUGGUGGGUUUAAUUUUACCAAGACUAAAUGUGGGUUAUGUUGGCAAACAAACAUGGAUCACAAAUCCACUUUACUAACAUAAAAUACACCAUUGGUUCUAGGGACUCGUUUGAGGAUCAUUGUUGAAAUAAACAAGAUUAGUAGUGGGGAAUCCUCCCCUUCAAGCCUAAUUCCAACAAGGUUUCUAGAACCCAUCAAACAACAUGUGACGCUGACCAAUUGUUCAACAACCUGACCCUUACCAUUAUCGGGACUAUUAAUUACGACUUUCUCAUUCCCUUUUUCCUCUCAAUAGGAAAUAGUGAGUUUUUGUCUUCCGUGGAAAUCGAACCUAGUACUUGAGGGAUAAGUACCGCUAUCCAUUCAUUCCCACUAUCAAUUGAGCCACUCGCUAUUUCCUAUUUAGAGGAAAGGGUAGGGGUGAGAAUAGGUCAUGCCAGACUAGGCUUUGAAAGGCCUGAGCCUAGCCUACGAUUUAUUUUUUAGGCCUAAGACUGGCCUACAGCCUAUCAUAGGCUUUUUUUUCGGCCUAACCUAGCCUUUUAAAAAGUCUAGCAUGGCUUGGAAGCCUACUUAAAAUAAUUUUUUAAAAAUAUGAAACAAACAUCCUUUAAACCCUAAAAAAUAAUUUUGUGUGUCAAAUAAUAGUUCUUUUUUUUUUUUUUUUUUUUUUUUUUCUGAAACAAACGCGCUCGUUAUUACCUCUUAAACAAAUAUGGAAUGACUAUUGAGUGAUUGACUAAUUGAACGGCUACCGAAUAUGGAAUGACUACCAAAUAUGGAAUUGCUACCGAAUAUCAAACAACUACUGAAUAUGGAAUGCUCAUUGAGUGAUUGCCUAAUUGAUAGAAUUUAAAAUAGGAAAUAAUAUUAUUAAUAUAAUAAUAAUAAUAAAUAAUAAAUAAUAAAUAAUAUUAAUAAAGAAUAGGCCUAAUAGACUUUUUUAUAAGUCUGAGUCUGACCUAUUUAAAUAAAUAGGCUUCAAAAACAGCCUAAGCCUAGCCUUUUUAUUAAAUAGGCCAGACCAGGCCGUAGGCCCCUGACGGACGGUCUAGCCUAUUCCCAUCCCUAGAAAAGGGGGAGCGAGAGUGUCGUGAUUAACAGUUCUGAUAACGAUAAAGGUCGAGCUGUUACAAAAAAGACACAUUUUAAUCGCCCUCAUUUCUAUCCAUUGGAAAUAACGAGUUUUAAGCUUCUGUGAAAUCGAACCCGGUACCUAUGAGAUAAGUACUCCUGUCCAUUCAUUCCCACAAUCAAUUUAGCUAUAACAACCGACCCUUACUAUUAUCGACACUGUUAAUCACGACUUUCUCGCCCUUUUUCCACCAAUUGGAAAUAACUAGUUUUUGUCUUUCGUGGGAAUCGAACCCGGUACCUGGGAGAUAAGUACCUCCGUCUAUUCAUUCCCACUACCAAUUGAGGAUCUCAUUGGCAAAAGCAUGGAGUUAUACAUUGAUGAUGUGGUGGUCAAGUCUCAAAACUUUAAGUUCCAUUUGGUGGAGUUGGAGCAGGCCUUGAAAAGAAUGAAGCUUAAUGGUCUGAAGAUGAAUCCAUCAAAAUGUGCAUUUAGAGUAUCAACUAGGAACUUUCUUGGUUUUUUAGUAUACAAUAAAGGGAUUGAAGUGGAUAAGAACAAAACUAGGGCCAUACUAGAAGCUAGGUAUCCCACUACAAAGAAGAAGUUGUAGAGUCUUUUAGGGAAGAUCAAUUUCUUGAGAAGAUUUAUAUCAAAUUCAGUUGGCAAAAUGAAAACCUUUUCACAUUUGCUUCGGUUGAAAGACUUAGAGGAAUUAAUAUAGGGAUAUGCUCAACAAAUGACUUUUGAUCAAAUUAAGGAGGCUUUAGGUAACCCACUAGUACUAAUGCCUUAAAUGCAUAGUAAUUCACUCAAGUUAUGUAUUGUUAUUGAAGACGAGACAAUUGGUUGCUUACUUGCCCAAGUUGUCGAUAUUGGUACAUAAAGAACAAUAUAUUAUAUUAGUCGAAUCUUAAAUGAUGUAGAAACAAGAUAUACACUUAUUGAAAAAUUAUAUUUAUCAUUGUUCUAUGUUUGUACUAAACUUGAAUAUUAUUCGUUAUCAACAGAAAUUUUAGUCAUGUGCAAGAUUGACAAAAUUAGAUAUUUACUCAAUAGAUCCAUUUUGCAAGGUUGACUAAUGAAGUGAGCCAUCAAAUUUAAUGCAUUUGCAUUAAAAUAUGUGCUCAUACGAGCAGUAAAUGGUCAAGAUCUGACAGAUUUUUUAGCACAACAUUAGUGCAUGGAAUCCCAAGAUCCACUAGCCGAGUUGAACCUUGUCGUGAAUGUUAACCCUCGUGCUUUGAUGUCUAACAUAUCUAAAACCUAAAAGGAAACUAGAGCUGACAUCGUUAUUAUUAACCCAGAAGAAAGAGUUUAGAAGUUUAAGGGCAAUAUCCUAAGUUUUCCAAUAAUCAUGUGGAAUAUGAAGCUAUGAUCAUAUGACUUAGGAUAUUGACAAGCAUGGUGAUAAAUUAUAACCACAUACAGGUCAAGGGAGAUUCUUGAAAUAACAAUAUCAAUUAUAAGGAAGGGGGUUUGAAUUAUAAUUGUCUCUUUUUAAAAUUCCUGAUUAAAAAUUGAAAGUUUAACUCAAGAUUGAUCUUGGUUAUAAAUGAAUGUUGAUCUUGGUUAGUGCAAAACAACAAUAUCAAUUUUAUCAAUAUAAAAAUUGAUUUAAAGUAUAUAAUAAAUAGAGAUAGAGAUAGAGAGAUCACACAAGCAUAUAUCUUGGUUCACCCAAACACGGGUUACGUCUAGUCCUCACGAAUGUGAGAUUUUCUACUAAGUGCUCAAGGCAAGAUUGUUCUUGGUUUUCACAUAUCAAUCUUGACUUUUACACGGUUUCUACCUUUCUACUUAGAAAUGAUUUUUUUCAGAUUUACCUUACAAUAUUUCAGAAUGGAUUUUGCAAGAUACCUUUUAUAACAUAAAAGGAUUUUUACACACUACUCAAGCUAAGUUGACAAUGUAGCCUUGAUUUACAAAAUAAUGAUUUUGAGAAGGUUAGAAUCUAAGUAUUGCUCAAAUCUUGUUUGAGAAAUAGAUUAUAUAUUUAAAACUCAGUUGUUAUUGAUCUUAACACAACACAAAGAGUGGAACUGCAAGCUGGAGAAUGAUUAUGAGAAUCUCGAGUAUGUUUGAAAUGAUUGAUACUUUGCUUGGCACUUUGAGUUGUGUUUUGUUAUUCAUCUUAAAGCUGUAUUUAUAGGCUUCAAGAGAGCUUUAGGACAACUUACUUAUCCAUUGAAAUAAGGCCAACUGUCAUGGAUAAGAUCAAACAGAAAGCAAGAGUGUUCAAGCUGAAACCAGGAACAUUCUUGGCAUCCAAGAUCGAUCCCCGAAUUUGGAACUGAGCUGAUUUGUACUUUGUGGUUCUGUCGGUUAUCUGAGAUGAUUUAUGUCUUUACGUUAAGUGUGCAGGUCAUAAUUGAAAGUACAACUUCAGUGUACUUUACAGCCUGUAAAUUUAUACUUGCUUUUGCCUUACUUGAAGAAUGAUAUUGCUUUGUACUUUUCAUGAAGCAUGUGUUUGAUCCUUCGAAUUCUGGAAGAAUGCUAACUUAGAUUGAUCCUUGCUUAUUCUUGAUGAAGGUAUGAGAUGAAUUAAAGCUUUCAGGAUCCAAUCUUUCAUAAAGAAAACUGAUCAUUGUUGUUUAAGACAUAAGUGUAGAACGUUCUUCGUUUUCCAGAAAUAUCUCAAGAACGAUCUUGGUUUUACUAAAGUAUGUUAGGAACGAUCUUCGUUUUACAGAAGUAUGUCAAUAACGAUCUUGGUUUAAUUGUUUUUGCUUUCUUGAUUUUUAAUGAGAUCUGCUUUGAAAGACUUGGUACCUAACUUGUUUUGACACACUCAAACGCACAUGUUAAAUACCAAAACACUUAGAAUUAUAAUUAUAAUUCUUAAUUAACCUUUUGUUUAAUUAUCAUCAAAACAUUAAUUUAAGAAUUUUGUCUUAGCAGUUCCAACUAGUGGAGAAACAAGACAUUGGAGAAUACCAAUCCUUGAACCUAAACCUCAAAAGAAAUUGCGAAACAAGAAAAUUGUUGUGUAUGUUUGCUGAUACAGUUGUCUUACACACGUCCCUCGUGAAGAAAACAAAUAGAUUAAUGAAUUAGCUCAACAUACACCUUUUGGGAAAAUAUUUUUCCGAAAAUAUAAACAUUCUUUUAAUUUAUAAGAUAUACAUUUAACACUAACAUUUUUUUCGAGUACACUCAUUAUUAAUACUACUAAUUUAUCUUUGAAAGAUGAAAAGUCAAAUACAAUUAUACACAAAUAAAAUUUUAGGAAUAACUACACAUAAAAUAGAUACAUUAAAUUAGCUACCUACUUUUCUUAAUAUAUGUGAAAACAAUAAAUGUUUAUAAUUAGGGGCAAUUUUUUUCCUAAAGAUAAUUAUAAUUAGCGACAGAGGUAGUAUGUGAUUUUUUUAUAUAGUCAAUGUUAGUAAUUAGUGGUUAUUUUUUCAUAAGGUGUUGUACUCAUGACUUACUUGUGAUACUAAGGAGGGGUGUACAUGGGUACGAGUCGAUCCGUUCUUGAUCGGAUCAGUUUGAUUCGAGUUAAAUGAAAAAAAUACGGAUUUAAAACUCAACUCAACGCAACCUAAAAAUAAUCGAUCGGUUCGAAUAUCGAAUUUUGUCAAAAUCGAUUUAACCUAACUUGCGUGCACUCUUAAUACUAACUCUCCCAAAAUACCUUACAACUCUCGAGGUAGUAUGUGAUUAAUGUCACAUAUUUUAAAAUAAAUUCAAAAACUAUAGUAAUUGAUUUCUUCCUUUUCAAUGAGAAAUUGAAUGAUCCCUUACCCUACUUGGACAUAGUUAAGCAAUUAAUAUUAAUUAAAAUUAACGAUUUUUUUAAAAGCAAGUUUAUAUUUAAAUAAUUUUCUUAAAGAAGCUAAUAAAUUAUAAAUUAUUUAGACAUAAAAAGCUUAUACUCUUUCAUUUGUGAUAAAUUGAUACAAAAAUAUCAUAUUAAAAUAAUGACUAUUUUAAUUUUUAAUGAAUAUUAAUUAUUUUUUUGAUAAAUUUUUAUCUUAUAAUCUCAAUUCAGUAUUUUUUUUUUAUCAAAAGAGGAAUUUACUAUAUUUUUCCCAUUAAUAAUAAACCAAGUAAUGAAAGUUAAGUGAUUAAUAAAUUUUAAUUGAGACAAAUCGUUCUAAAAACUUUGAAUUUUGACUAGAACAAUUAUUGAUCGAACUUUAUUUAAUUAUCAGUCAAACUCUAAAUUGUUUUGGUCUAUUUCUGUCGAAAAAAAUUAAAUAAAAAAUAAUAAUAACCAUGAAUCCACCAAUAUUUAAUAAUAUAAUUUAAUAAAAGUUUUUUUUUGACCAAAUAUAAUUUUAUUUUUUAGUUAUACAUUUUUUUAAUAAAAAGAACGUAUUUGUACAUUAGUUACGCAAUUAAUUAAUUAAUAAUUAAAAAAAAAAUGAAAACUUAACAGCAUCCUUCGUUCUACCAAAAUCACAUACGGGGGAAUAUAAUCAGAAUAAUUUUCUGAGAUUCUCCUCUUCUUCCCUUGCUUCUACUCAAAGGAAUUAUUUUCCAUUAGCGUUUGGAGGGUAGAAAAGGAAGAGGAAGAGAAAGAUCGAAAGAGAGAAAUGGGAGUGUUUUCCAAUAAGAUCGAACGUCAACAACUCAAGCCCGGUGAUCACAUUUACUCAUGGAGACAAGCUUACAUCUACGCUCAUCACGGUCUAUUUCUUUUUUUAAUUUAUCAUCUUUUUUAUUUUUCUCUUUCUUGUUAUUCGUUGUUUGCUUUUGUUUAAUUUACACAAUAUAAUAGAUUCUGGAUAUUUUAUUUCAUUUUAUUGAAAACGGUUGUUUUUGUUUUUAUAUUAUAACUCAUUCGCAUUUAGGUUUGGAUAAUCAUAAACUUUGUGGUCCAGUAGAUUUUUUUUGUCAGUUAGUUAUUGCUGAUUAUAACUGUUUUGUUAUGAUUUACUUUAUUUUGUUUUUGUAUUGGAAAAUUUGUUGUGGAUGUGUUGGGUUAAGACUUAUUUUGUUUAGGAAGUGAAUUUAGGGUAAAGAAAUUUCAUGUGUUGGGUUAGCUUGCAAUAGUUUGCAGCCAACUUGAAUUUCAGCGUAUUGAAAAUGUAGCGGUGACUCUUCAAAUUGAAAGUGUUUCUGGUGUUUGACACGAUUAGUGUAUGGCAUGGCACUGGUACAUAUGCGUGCAUUCAAUUAAUUUCAUUUUCUUACAUUAUUAUCAGUGUCUACAUGUGAGUGUCACUAUUGUGUCAGAUAUCGUUCUACUAUGUGUUAAGGCUUCUUAGGAAGCAACAUAGUUGUUGUUGAAUCAAGUGAAAUUGGUCAUAAGUUUAACAGUUAGAGAUGUAUAAGGAUAACAAUAAUGCUUAUAUGCUGGAAUCUUUGGAUCUUUCCAAAUUUUAAAGGGAGUAUUGGUUCUUGCUUUCUGGUGGUUGUUAGGGUGAUCUCAUUUGUGGUGUGUUAUAACUCUAGGCUUCUAAAAUAGUAUAAAAGAGAUAGGAAAAUGAUAAGGCUUGUGGUGUUGAUAUUUAUUCAAUCCCCCAUAUUGUUGACAGAUAAAGAUAUUUUAUAUUGAGUGGGUUUUUGGAUCCUAUGAGCCAUGUGAGUCCUACAGGGUUGAGAUUCGAAGUUCUAAUUAUGCUUAAAAAACUUAUGAAUGGCUUGAUAUUUCUUUUGACAAUGGAUUUUGUGUUAUGAAUUUGUCUAACUUGGAAUCAAUGUUGUCAAAUAGCUGCUAUAGCCCUAUAGCAUAGCGGAAGUUGAACAAAUUGCUGUUGCUCCUACAAAGUGUUUCCAAAUAGCUGCUAUUGCGGCGCUAUAACACUAUAGUGUAGCGCAAUUUGUAUUAUGAGCAGAGCACCAAUACACCGGUGAUCUCAUUGGCGAACAGAGCAUCAAAGAAUCUGGAAGCAAAAUAGUUUUAACCUUAGAAGCUACUGCAUAUACCCACCAACUCUUUAUUUUUGCUUGAAGGCACUAUUGCUCAUAUUUAUUUUAUUUUUUUGACUUUUCUAUAAGUUUGGCAUUAUCUCUAUUACAAAAGUCUUUUAUUGCUGUUAUUUGUCAAAGUUUUGAAACUUUAAACCUUAUGAAAUAAAUAAUAAAUUGUUGACAAUUUUUCCCUAGGAUUUGUAUGGGAGUUGGGAGGGGAAGCGAGAGGUUGAGGGCAAAGGGAAUGAAAUAUGAGAAGUCUUUCCCAAACACGAGUUUUUGGAGGAGGCGACGGGUUAACUUUAGUGUUGUCGAUGGCGGAAGCCCAAAAAAUAGCCUAUAAACAAUCCAUUGCGGUCUGUGGCGCCGCCAUGCUGGGCAAACCUAAUACGGUGGUUGUCAAAAAAUCUGCUAUGGCCGUCAUUUGACAAUGCUGGUUGACUUGUGACUAAUAUUAUCUUUGGUUGAGACUUUGAGUGUAUUAUAGAGGGAAAUGAUUUUUUGAGUUCCCUAAAAUUGGGAGAUUUUAAUCCUAUGAAGAAAAAUAAACCAUCAUACAACUUAGGGACUAUCCUCCCGUCCAUUUCUUCCUCCCUUUCCUCUCAACACCUCAACACGCUUCUCCUCCCAAUUCUAAAACAUAACCUUAGGGGCCACUUCCACGUGGCUUGAAAAAACCAUCAAAGAAAAAUAAGUCUUGGGAUCUUUUGGAAAUCUCAGACUAUUGAAUUUUGUGAAUAUAAUCUAAUUGCAUUUUGUACAUUAAGAUAUAAAAGUUAUGAGUUCCUUAUAGUCUGUCACAUUUCCUGGAAGUAUUUCGAUGAACUGUGUGUCAGCUAUUCAUUGGCAUCGCCAGUUGAGAGUAAAUCUUUCAGUCUUUGUAGUUUUAUAUUGUGCUUUUGUUUAUUAAAUAUGGACAAACAAGGUAAACACAAACUUUGUUUUAGUAUUAAUGCGAGCCAAUGUUGUAUUUGAUUAAGCAUUUCAACCAGAUUCAUAUUUAAUAAGAUGCCAUUGAUCUAGUUGCACACGUUAGUCCUUUGGUCCCUAUCGACUCUCAGCAAUCUGGAAACUUCAACAUGAAAUGGACUUAGAAUCAAUGAUUUUUGCAUCUUUAAUGUGUGAUGCUGAAUUUGGCAUAUCGGUUUUACCAACUGCUUUUGUGCAAAAUUUCAGGAAUUUAUGUUGGUGAUGGAAUGGUCCUCCACUUUACAAGGGGAGGAGGGCAAGAAAUCGGAACAGGAACCGUGUUGGACCGUUUCCUUUGCAGUUCAUCACCCUCUAAUGCUACCGAAACUCCGUGUCUGAAAUGUGGUGACCAAAAUAAGACCGAUGGUGUCAUCUCUUCCUGUCUGGAUUGUUUUCUCUCUGGUGAUAAUCUAUACCUCUUCGAGUAUGCUGUCUCGCCUGCAUACUUUCUAGCCAAAGCUCGAGGCGGCACCUGCACCCUAGCAGUUUCUGAUCCAACAGAAGACGUCCUUCGCCGCGCCUCAUUUCUUCUUGAAAAUGGAUUCGGCGGUUACAAUGUUUUCAACAACAACUGUGAAGACUUUGCAAUUUACUGCAAAACAGGUCUGCUUAUAUUCACAAGCAUCAGUGUUGGCCGGAGCGGACAAGCAGCGUCUUGCUUGGCUGCUGCUAGUGCUGUGGUUUCUACUCCACUUCGCUUUAUGACGACAAGUUUCAGUGGUUUGGCUGCGGUUGGCUAUGGCAUGUACUGUAUGAGCCGAUUGGUUUCUGAUAUCGGAGUUCGCCGCGAUGUAUCCAAAGUUCCGGUGGAAAGGCUUAUAGCUUCACCUGACAUAGGUCAACCAGAGAAGACAGCUGAGAUGAUCAAAGAAGAUUAGAGCUGGUUGGAUAAACUCUUAUGUUGAAUAUUCAGCUUAUAUGUAAAGAUUAUGAAUGCCUUGUUUGUUAAAUGUAUACAUUUGAUGUUAAAUUGUUUCUCACCAACAUUUACUGUUUGUAUUUGUGGAUUUUAUUACUUCAUAUAUGGAUGAUGUGAUUCACAAACAAUACAUUAUAAAUGUCAGCAAUUAAGAUUUAUUUAAUAGAUUAUAAUUCUUUUUUACUAAAGUUAAUUGGAUAUAUGCAUAAUAUAUUAGCGGUGUUUUCUGCCUUAAGGAUAAUUCAAACGGUAGCUAUAGUUAUAGUGUUAUUUGAUUUGAUUGAAUUUGGGAUAUUUCUUUUCCUACACAUUAAAAUUGAGUGUAAUAAAGAAAAAAGAUAAUAAUUUCGUAAAAAGUAAUAAAAUUUAUCGAUUAUCUUAAGUAUAUGCAAAUAACUUUAAAAUAACAGUUAUUAGGCCAAAAUUAAUUUUUUAUAGUGUAUAUUUAUUUUUGUUCGUACGUAAUAAUGGAUUCAUAAUGGAUUCAUGAAUUCAUUACUUUCAAUUGUAUUAUUAUAAACGCUAUUAAAUAUUAUACAAACAACACAAAACAUUAAGCGCUAUUAAAUAUUGCAUAGGCAACACAAAACUUAGCGCUUAUGUUAUAAACGUUAUAAAAUAUUUUAUACAAAUAAACAAGUGAACAACACAUAACGUAUUGCACGUAAGCGCUAUAAAAGUAUAACAUUUUUUACAUAUAAGCGUUAUAACUUUCUAAAUGACACUUGCGACAAAAACAAAAUUGCUUGUUAAUUAUCGGGAGUUUAAUUUCACGCCAUAAUUUCCUUCUUUUUGUCAAGACUUAAAAUUUCCUCUUUCAUUUUCACUUUGAAAUUGCAUUUCCCUCUUUUUUUUUAUAAGUAAACUAUUUUCUCUCUUUCACAUCAUUUCACCCUUCCAUUUUCACCCUUCAUUUUUCCUCUUUUGUUUUACGCAUUAUGCUUCCAUGUCGCCAGCAUCAACGCUGUCAUGCCUCACGUUUGAAAUGUCUUCAUCUCCUUUCUGUUUUUACGUCUUCUUCCAACUUUUCAUCUUUCAAUGCAGCAAGCUACGAUGCCAACACAUUGUAAGCUUGAUUUUCCUUUGAUCUUCAUUUUUGUUUUUGUUUCUUAUUUAGGUUUCUAUUUUUGGUCUAUUUUAGUGCUUUCAACUUUUGAGUUUGCCCUUUAUUUUAUUCUUACAGAAAAACCUAAACUUCUAUCCAAGUUUGCCCUAAUUUCCUUCAUCUUUUGGUAUUUUCUCUUCUUCCCUUUUAACUUCUAAUUUUUUUUCCAAUUUACUCUUGAGAAAAACCCUGAAUUUAUGAUUGAAUGACAAUCAAUCUUUUAUUUUCAUUUCAUCAGAUUGAGGAUUGAUAACCUAAUGUAUAUGAAGUGUUUUUUUUUUUUUUUUAUUGUCAUGCAAUUGAAAUAAAUGAUUAAUCUCUAUUCAUUUUUAACUGGUCAACAUAUAAGGUUUGUGGGUAAUUUGUCCUUGAUUUUGUAGUUUUUUUUCCUUCUUUUUUUAUAUUAUUUUUUUUCUCAGUGAACUUUCAUCUAUAGCGCCAACAAGUUGGAGAUAUGUUUAAGGUGAUAUCAUAGAUAUUCAAUAAGAUGAGGGAAAAGAGGAAGAUUCUUGAUCUUACUAGCACACUCGAAUGUAUCGAGAAGAACUUUGUCAUUACUAAUCCAAAGCUUCUUGAUAACCCCAUUGUAAGAAAUUUAUAUAUAUUCUUUUUUAUAGUGUCAUCGUUUGUGUUUCUUUUGCAUCAAAGUUGUUUGGAGAUUGAUUGUUAAUUUGUGUAAUAUUGUAACUAAAGAUGACAUAUAUGAAUAUGAGGGUAAAUUUUUAUUUGAUUUUUUAUAUAUUUUCCUCUAUUUGUCGGCUCACGUUUUUUGUAACGUCAAUUUGACGUUAAUGACCAAAAAUAAAGUUUUUGGAUAUUGUAGAGAUGAAAUCCAAACAAAUAUUUUUCAGAGACUAAAAACACGGGGACCAAAAAUAUAUUUAAACGUUUUGGUCCACGCUUCCUUUUGUCAAUUAACAUUUUUGUAACGUCCAUUUGACGUUAAGGACAAAAAAUAAAUUUUCCUGAUAUUACUGGAUGAAAUCCAAACAAAUAUUUUUAUAUGUACUAAAACUAAAAACGGUUAUAUUUACAGGGACCAAAAAUAUAUUUAAACAAAAAAAAAAUUAUGUUGAUAUAAUAUUUUGUUGAUAUAUGUACUUUUAAAGAGUAGGUCUUAAUUGAAAAUAUAAUCAUUCUUGUUAAGAUUUAAAUUACAUUUAGACACAAAUUCAUAGGUUGCUUCAUUUUAUCAAAUUAAUUAAAACAAUAAGUUAUAUUUUAGCUUAACUUGUUUUAAAAAAUCAAACUAAUAGAAACCUAAAUAAAAGUUAACGAGCAGUGAUAUUAAAAACCUGAAUAAAAGUUAACGAGUAGUGAUAUUUGGACAUUCAGAUUUGGCUUGAGAAUGUUUAGGGUGUGCGACUAUAUAAGAUCUCAAGUAUUCAGGGAAAUCAAAAUUUUAUUUUUAUAGUAUAAAAAAUUAUAUAGUAAAAAAAUGUUAAAGGUUGUGUAGUUUUAUGUUUUUUCUUCUUAAACUCUAGAUCUAAAAUUCUAAAUUCAUAAUUGUUGAACCUUUAUGAUUGAAUAUGUACAAAAAAACGAUUGGCAUUUUUUAAUCAUUAGAUUUGAAUUUAAACCCUAGAAAAAAAAAUAGUUUUGUUUAUCAAAUUCUCUUACUCUUAUUACUCCUUGGUCCUAAAAUUUAUGAUAAAGAACAAAAAGUUCAAAUUAUUUGUUUUAAGAAUCUCUUUUACUAACAAUUAUUCGUUCCUACUUUCAUCUGAAAAACAUAAUCAUCUCUUGUUAAAAUGAUGGCUGAAUGGGAUCUUAACAUCUUGUCGUGCAAAAGUAUAUAUAUGUUGAUUGCAUCGAACAUCAAAAAAUUCAUUAUCAUUAUCUUAGUCAUAAGAUCCAAGCUGAAUUGAUUAAUAUGUAUAAAAAAACAUAAUAAUUUAUUUAAAAUUGCAUCAAAUAUAAUAAAAUACAUUAUCAUAAUAUGACUUAUAAUAAAAUAAAAAACAUGAAUAAAAAUAAAAUAGGACACCAAUUUCAAACUUUGCACAUGACACUAAAAUUUUCAAGAACCACUUUGUGAACAUUUGUUACUUUUCUACACCCAUUUACCACUUCAUCCUCUCCUUAUCUCUUUCUUUCUAUCACAUCACUAUUCAUUACAUUAUUUUCUCUAUUUUUUUUUUUCUUUAUGUGAAGGUAUUGAUAAGGUGUAUGGGUAUAUAUCCAAAUAUAAUUGUUAACAAAUCAAUUUUACAUAUCAAUUAUUAUAUUUGAACACCUUUAAUUUUCAUUUAUUUAUUCAACACUUUGAACACUUCAAUCUUACAUAUCAUUAUCUAUUUUUUCUCUCUCAAAGUAUCAAAUGUAUGUUUGAAUGUCUACUAAUACUACGUAUAUUUCGAACAAACCAAAAGAAUAGCCAAUCUUGUAUUAUAACCAUAAAUAUAUUAUUAAAUAACUCCGAUGGUCCAUAAUAAAAUGUGGUGGAUGAUAAAAUUUAAUGGUAAAAAAAAGUAGACCAUCAUAUACCAAUGCAUCUAUUGGGUGAAUGCUAAAAGGAACCGUCCACCAAACAUUUUUCCUUUACAUAUUCUUUUACCAUGGAAUUCUAGGUAUUAGCUAGAUUGUGUACAACAAAAUAACAAGGAGGAAAAAAAUAUCAAACUCAUGUGUAUGUGAUUUUUAGUUUCGUAAAUUUGAUACCAAUAGAAAAGCUUGAUGAUAAUAGUCAUCGACUAUAAUAGUUAAUAAAUAUUUUGACCCAAAAAAAUACUUAUUAUUAUUGUUAGAGUAAAUGGUUAACAUCAAUAGCAACAUAAAAAUUACAUUAAAAAAAUAGAAAACAUAAACUAAUAUUUAAUUGAAUAAUAUCUUAGUAAUUGAUUUUAGUGAAACCCAAAUCUCGUAAAAAUGUUGUAUUUUUAUUUUUUUAAAUUUAUAUAUUUUAUUUUAAUAAAACAUUUUAGAAGCAACUUAUUGUUAUAAAGAGAAAAUAAAAUGUUAAUUAAUCGAGAUAAAUUUUGAAUAUAAUAUUAAAAGUUAUAUACUUUUAUUGUUUCUUAAAAUAUAGACAAUUUUGUUGACGAUAAAUUUGACACAAACUUUUAAAAAUAAAAAUAAAAUAUUUUCUCAAAGUAUAGUAGCCCUUAAAGCAUGUCACGAUGUUCAACGUCCUUCAUGUAUAUACAUAAAUAUUGUCGGUUUUAAUAAGUCUGGCAGGUUAAUACACCACGUAUGACUACAAUUACAAGUUGACACCUCAUGAACAUCUGUUUUAAACCAAACUCUUCUUUGGUCCACUCCAAAUUAGACCUAAACUCAAUAUUACCUAACCCUAUCUCCACCUCAAUCACAUACACGACUACAAUUAUAAGUUGACACCUCGUGGAGAAUUGUUCUGGACCAAACUUUGAUCCACUCCAAAUUAGACCCAAACAUAAUAUCACCUAAUUCUAACCUCCACCUCAAUCACAUGUUAAUAUUGGAGUGCAAUUUAUAGCGACUAAAUAUUGAUAGUGUAGCUAUUUUAUAUACAAAUAUUAUAAUUUUUAUGCAAAAAAUACAAUUUUUUAGAAGGCCCAACGGGAUUUGAACCGGUGCAGUCAGAUGCUCUACUACUGAGCUAUCAACCCAAGUGCUUUUUAGAAUUUAAUUAAUAUAAUAAUUUUACUAAAUAAAACAAAUGAUUUAAUUAUAAAAUUUGCAAUUGGCACAUAUUUAAUGAAAAAAUAAUGAAUUUAUCGUACUUUAUUUAAAUAUUUUAGGAAAUACUUUUUUUUUGUGUGCCAGCAAUUAUUAUAUCAUACAAAGAUCAAACGAACAUAAACCCUAUACAUAAUAUAAAGGUCCAACAUAAAAAUUUUAUUUCAUUUCGUCCUUUGUUUAAUUGUCGAUUUUAUAUAAAAUAUUGUUACCAUAUAUUAGUUGAUUUCAAAUUGUACAAUGCAACAUUAACUAUUGAAUUAUAAAGAAUUAUAUAUAUAUAUACAUAUCUAAAUCACUCGUCAUAAUAACAUGUUGGAAAAAUAUAGGUGUCCACAAAUUUUGUAAAUAAGUAAUGAUAUAUGUGUAACACUUGAUUAAUCACGUAUAAAAAUAUGAUUAAUUCAAUUAAGUAAUCGAUUAAUUGAGCUAAUUAACCAACAUUUUAAACGUAGUUUAAAUUAAGUGUCCGAUACUUCUACUCUAGGAGAAUAUAAACCAACUAUAAAUGGUACCAUAAAUUUUGAAAAUUAGGUGCAUGGAUGCCAUGUGCACAACAAAUACAUCUUCUUGGAUACAACAAUGGUACCACACAACACAAAGAUUUGCAAAACUAGUUGUGCAUGAAUGCCAUGUAAAGAAAACACCCUCUUGGAGACAACCAUAAAGUUUGGAAACGAUCAUGAAGUUGUGUUGCAUGGAUGACAUGUACUCAAACUUGGUAUCCAUUUAUACAAAUAAAUGAUUGAACAAUAUAUAUACGACAAGUUUUGCAUGCAAUUGUGAAUUUAUUCUCUAAAUAAUAAGAAUAUUGUAACAAUCUCAUAUUCAUCUCACUAAGAUUCAACAAUCAUCACUUUUUUAUAGCCGACAAAUGGAGUUUGAAUAUUUAUCUCUUUUAGCUUUGUUUUGUGUAGCGGCCUAUAUUCUACUAUGCUAGCUUGAUCAUAUUAUAUGUAUGGUUUUCGUUUGAAAUCAUCAUGAACACAAAUCUAUUGUGAGUAUUUUAUACAUUUGGCUUUUGUGAGAAUUGGUGCCUUAGCUAGGUAUGGUAAUGGGGCAAUUUUUGCAUUUCUUACCCAUGUAUCUGACUAGUCAUGGAAAAUCUACACCCGCUUUUAUUUUUUAUCGGGUGUGAAAUUUAAACCUUCAUUCCUAUCUGCGACGGGGUUCGGCCUUCCCUGCUUGCACUCACACUCAUUCAUAUAUAUAAAAUAAUAAAUUUAAAAGUUAUAUUUAUUAUAAUUAAUAUUAUACAAUAAUAAAAUUAAAAAAAAAUAUUAAAAUCAUGUUUUCUAUAGAGAGAAAAUUCUAAUUUUAAUAUUUAAAAAAUAUUAAAUAUAUUGAAUAUGUAUAUGUAUAUAAAAAUUUAAAAAUGACAAUAAAUUUGUGUGCUCAAACCCCUCAACAAAUCGGUGUCGCUGAGAUAAAGAACCGACACUUGGUGGAAAUGGCUCGUAUCAUACUCCUUCACAAUAAUGUACCUCCUCGUUUUUUGGGGGAUGCAAUUCUCAUAGCUUGCUACUUAAUCAAUCGCAUGCCUUCCUUUGUACUUGAAAACAAGGUACCACAUUCUAUUUUAUUUCCUCAACAAAAUCUUUAUACCCUACCACUCCGUAUCUUUGGGUGCACAUGUUUUGUUCAUGACCUUACUCCAUGGAAAUAUAAGCUUGUUGCAAAAUCCCUUAAGUGUCUUUGUCUCGCUACUCUCGCUGCAGAAAGGUUAUCGGUGCUAUUCUCCAGAUAUUCGACGAUACUUUAUCUCUGCCGAUAUCAAUUUCUUUGAGACUCGUCCUUUCUUUCUCUCUACUGCAGAAGAGUUCAAUGAUUCUGGUCAGUCACAAUCUAUCUCUCCAGAGGUCCUUAAUCUCCCCAUUGCACCCACCCCUAUCUCUAUUUCCACCCCUGUCUCUAGCACCACCCUAUGCACCUACCAACGAGGCCCCGUCCACCACCCGCUCCUCAAGACUCAUCCCCUGCUCUACCUAACUCUCAUUCUCUGCAUCCUACACAAGGGCUACCCAUUGCUUUGCAUAAAAGUCACAGGUCAUCUCAAAAUCCUAAUCCUAUAUAUGUUUGUCAUUUGAAUUAUAAUCAAUUAUCUACAUCCUAUUAUGCUUUUGUGGCUUCCUUGGAUUAUGUGUCUAUUCUGAAAACUACAAGGGAAGCUAUGUGUAAUCCUGGCUGGCGACAAGCAAUGAUAGAUGAAAUGAAUGCUUUUCACUCCAAUGGGACAUGGGAUUUAGUACCUCUACCUGAUGGAAAAACCACAGUGGGGUGUCGUUGGGUCUAUAUAGUCAAAGUUGGGUCUGAUAGAAAUAUUGAUCGCUUAGAAGCUCGUCUUGUGGCAAAAGGAUACACACAGAUCUUCAGCCUUGACUAUGGGGAUACCUUUUCUCCAGUUGCCAAAAUCGCAUUCGUCUGACUUUUUCUUGCCAUAGCUGCUAUUCACCACUGGCCUCCACCAAUUAGACAUAAAAAAUUUCUUCCUGCAUGGAGAGUUACAAGAUGAGGUGUAUAUGGCACAACCACCAGGCUUCACUGUUAGCGGUACCUCUCACUUGGUAUGUCGAUUACAUCAAUCUCUAUAUGGCAUGAAACAACCUUCCCGUGAUUGGUUUGAGAGGUUUAGUACCGUGCUCUAGGAGUAUGGUAUGACUAGAUGUGAAGCUGAUUACUUGGUUUUCUUCUUGCACUAUUCACCAACCACUUGCAUCUACUUGCUUGUCUAUGUUGACGACAUCAUCAUCACAAGUAAUGACUAGGUUGACAUUCAUCAGCUCAAACAACAUUUGUCUCAAAACUUUCAGACUAAAGAUUUGGGACCGCUAAAAUAUUUUUUAGGGAUUGAGGUUGCUCAGUUUAACAAUUACUCAGUGGAAGUAUGCCCUUGAUAUACUUGAAGAAACAUGCAUGCUUGAUUGUCGCCUGCGUGAUACUCCUAUGGAUCCCAAUGUCAAGCUCCUACCAGGUCAGGGGGAGCCAUUGCAAGGCCCUGAUAGAUAUCGACGACUUGUUGGCAAACUUAAUUAUCUUACAGUAACUAGACCUGAUAUUGCAUUUGUUGUAAGUGUAGUCAGUAAAUUUUUGAUGCUCCAUGUGAUAGUCACUGGAAUGCUGUGAUUCAUAUUCUUAGGUAUUAUGAAUCCAGGUCACCAAGCCCCUAAGUGACUUAGGUAUUAUGUAGUCAGUAAAUUUUUGAUGCUCCACUGGAAUACUGUGAUUCAUAUUCUUAAGUAAAUUCAAUUCAAUGACCCCUAAGUGACUUAGUGAAUGCACCAAGCAAGGGUAACAUCGAAGUUGUUGGCUACUCUGAUGCUGAUUGGGUAGGGUCACCAUCAGAUAGAAGAUCCACUUCUGGGUAUUGUGUCCUUGUUGGAGGUACUUUGAUAUCGUGGCGGAGUAAGAAGCAAAACAUAGUCGCAAGAUCGAGUGCAGAAGCAGAAUAUCGUGAUAUGGUUGCAACGACUUGUGAACUUACAUGGCUAAAACAAUUACUCAAACAACUCAAGUUAUGAGAUGUCAAUGUAAUGAAACUAAUUUGUGAUAACCAAAUUGCACUUCAUAUUGCUUCCAAUCUGGUCUUCCAUGAGAGAACAAAACACAUAGAGCUUGAUUGUCAUUUUGUAAGAAUUAAAGUUCUUUUCGGAGAAAUCACAACUAAUUUUGUUGGUUCAAAUGAUCAAUUGGCUGACAUAUUCACUAAGUCACUUAGGGGUCAUUGAAUUGAAUUUAUAUGUAACAAGUUUGGUGCAUAUGAUAUGUAUGCUCCAACUUGACGAGGAGUGUUAGAAUUUAAAGUAUGAUUAUUAUUCUUUGACUAUACAAUUUCCUAGGUUAAUUGGUAGAACUUCUAGUCAAACACAAGUUUCUAGUAUUUUAAUGUAAUUAUCGUAACCUCAUUAUAAAUAGAAGAUGCGUGAUCAAAUAGUUCUUCAUCAUUUCUCUAACUAUAAAAAUAUAUUUAUUCAUAAUUGGUGAUCUUACAACUAUGAAAGUACACAACUAGUUGGAUUUGUCCAUGUCGAACCAUAUUAGCCACUUUACUAUUUAAGCUUCAAGAUUCACAUAAAUGCUCAAAUUGAAAUACCAAGCAAUUAUCUAUUUCUUAUGUAUUCAAUCUCAAAUAUUUUCUCUAAGCAAACAUAUUUUAGAUGCUCUUUCUAGAGUUUAGAAAAUAUUAUAUAAUCAAUAUAAACAAUAGUUAUAUCAAAUGUUUUAAAAAAAAUCAAGAAUGAGAAAUAUAUUAUUUAUUAUAAUAUAUUAAAAUAACCUUAAACAUUCUCUCCAUUGAUAUAUCAUCUAUUUAUGUGUCACUUACUCAAAUUUAUUCCACAUCAUAAAAAUUUGAUGUGUCACUCUCUAUAUUCAUUCACCCUUAUUAAAUUAUAUCUUCUAUGCUUUCAUUGUAAUACCUUAUCAUUCAUGUCCUUAAAUGCAAUUCAUUUUUAUAAUUUUUGGUUACUUAAUCUAUCAAUGCAUAUGACUAUUGUUUUCACCUUUUCUGUUACUAAACUUUGUUUUGUAAAAAAAAAAAUUUUGGACCUCACUAAACUUCUUUGUCUUCUAAACUUAAACAUAAUCUUCUAAACUUAAACAUAUCUGCUAAUUAACUUUUAAGUCACACACCCUUACUUAAUAAAUUUAUUAAUGUUAAUAUAUUAUCAUCAAUGUGCUCAUUUUAAUUUCUAAAUCAAUUUGUAACAUAAAUUUUAAAUAAUCAAUUCAUUCAUUCUAUUUGGUAGUUGAAUUAUUUUUUAUUCUAAACCAAAGUAUUGUAUUAAUCUUAUUUGAUAAUUCAUCAAUUUUUAGAAGAGUUUGCGUUUAAGAUUAUUUGUAAUUUUUUGCAGGGAUCAAAUUUGCUAAUUUAGAUUUGUGUUUUUCAAUUUCAAGUCUCUGUUGAGAUUUGCCAGUUUAAAUUUCUUGCAUUGAAGAAGUAAAAUUAAUGAAGGUUCUCUUCCAUUGUCAAAAAAGACCAACAAUAUUGGAUAGCUACUAUGGUAACAUUAUCUAAUUUUUAAAUUAAUUAUUUUGUGUUUUUUUUACUAUGAUUUGGUUGUUCUUCUGCAUUUCAUGUUUGAUAAGUCUCUAUUUCAUGUUUGAUAAGUUUAAAUAUUUUUUAUAUGACUGUAUUGUAUCGAUUAGUUGUUGUGUAAAUGUGAAGGUGAUUUAAGUAAAUACAAAAAUGGUGGAUUCAACAUCCAAAUGAUUGUCCUUGGGCGUUAUGUUGCUAGAGGGUACUGCUCAAAGACGGAAAAAUUUAUCUAUAUAUAAAUUAUUUACUAUGUUAAACAUAGUUUGGUUAGUAAGCUAAUGGACAACAAACUAAAUUUAAACAAACCAUGAUACUAAAAUAACUAUACUAAUUUAUUUUUGUGAAUGUUAAUUUUUAUUUCAAUUUCAUUGUGUAUAUUUUAGUAACAUAAACUUUAAACUUAUGUAAUAUUAUUAGAAUAUAUAACAAUGCAAAUAAGAUUUCUGUCAUUUGUAUAAAUAGACACCUUAAUUGUGAUUAUGGAAUAUAUUUCAUUAUCUUAACACAAUUUUGUUAAAGUUGUAACGUUUUCGAGCAUGAAUUGUCUUUUGCACUUUGUAAAUAAUUUUCACAAUGUUGAACUUUUCAAUCUCUUAGUAUAAUACAUUGACUUUCAAUAAAGCUUAGUUCUACAAUUUCAAAAUAAUUUUAUAUAUCUCCGAACUCAACCUCUAACGUGCUGAUAUUUUACAACAUUUCUAUUUGAAGUAUGAUUUUUGACUCAAAAUUAACACUUUUAACUCUUCACGCAAUUUAAAAAAUAAUAAUUUAAUUUCAUGAAAAAUCUCGUGCAAUGUGCAUGGAUCCAUCUAGUUAUUAUUAAAUUGACAUUAAUGACUAUUUUAAAAUUAUACCUUAGAGAAUUUAAAUGAUAUAUGCUAAGUUAUAAUAUUACACUCAUACGACCGAGCUAACACAUCAUAGACAUAAUUAUAACAUAUUUAUUUCUAUGUUUUCUCAAAUAAAUACAUAGAUAAAUACGGCCUUUUAUAUCAUUCAUUUAGAAAUUUUUACUGGCACAAUCAUACCACGUAGGCACACAUUGUAUUAAUCCAUAAAGAAACUUUUUUUUUGACUCAAAUCUAUAAAGAAUUAGUCAAUAUAGUAUUAAGUAAUCUCUUUUAGUUGGACAAUUGAUACUAAAUUAUUGUUGGUUGCCUUCUAAAAAUCUAUCAUGCCUCAUCACUAUACUUAGAAAAGUAAAUUAAGCUUUGUUGAUAUAUAUCUCUAAUAUUUGGAGAAUCAACGUGAAUGGUACCACAAGCUUUAGAGAUUCUAUUGUAACUAUGCUGCAUGGAUGCCAUGUGCACAACAGGUUUAAUAACUCUUAAAGACAAGAAUAGUACCACACAAACUUUGUGGUGCAUGGAAGCCAUUUGGACAAAGUAAAACAAGGUAGUUUUGAUACCCUUUUGGAGACAACCAUAAAGUUUGGAGUGUGAUGCAUGGAUGACAUUUGCACAAGCUUUCUUAACCACUUGGAGGAAUCAAUUUCAAUGUAUAACAAUGGCAUACGACAAGCUUUGCAUGCAAAUGUAACUAAAUAGUUGCAUGUGGAAUUACUAUAUAUAUGGCUACCUUGUAACAUUCAUACACACACUCAACUAAUUAGUUUCUAUAUAGUCAUCACUUCUUCAUAGCCAAUCAAUGGAGUUUGCACGUCUCUCUAUUUUAACUUUGUUUUGUGUAAGCUAACUCAUUUUCUACUUUACUUGAUAACUUUAAGUUAUGAUCUAUAUUGUUUCAAAUUCUUCCAUGCACUUUGAAUGUUUUAAAUUACAAUAUAAAUUAAUCUCAAUGUUUUGUGCAUGCAUAAAUAGUUUUCAUUAGAUAUUAUCAUGAAGAGGGACACUUUUACAAAACAUUGCUAAUAUGUAAUGUGAACAAUAUAUUUUUUGCAGUUAGCUUUUGUGGGAAUUAGUGCAUCACCACUGUCCGGUGAAGAUUAUUGGCAAUCUAUUUGGCCAAACACUCCUCUGCCUAAGAUUUUCUUAGAUCUACUUUUGCCUUGUAAGUAGUAUUGUAUGUGUUUGUUUAUUAACUUUGUUAUAAUGGUUUAGUUUAAUGUUUUGUUGAAGAGUUCAUAUCUCCUACAAUUAAUUUAUGGUACAACAACUAUAAGUACUCUUAAACUUAGAGAUAUAAACUUGAUCUCUCUAAAUCUAAUACUUUUUACAAUUGCUACACCAUAAAUUAGUUGUAGAGAAUCCAAUUUGUUGGUUGAUUGAUCUAUAAAUCAAUGGCUCGUCACGUUAAUGUUAUUGUUUCAUGUGUGAAUUAGUGUCACAUAACAUGAUAUAAGAUACUUUUUUUUUGUUAAUGUACAGAUGGAAGAACCAAUAGUCUACCUAUCAGAGCAGAAGAAAUGAAUCAAUAUUCAACACUCUUUUUCGAACAUGACCUUUAUCCUGGAAAGAAAAUGACCUUGGGUAAUAUUCAAUCUUUGGGAAAGAUGGUGCGACCAUUCAUAAAACCAACACAAGGUGUUACAGACUCCAUAUGGUUGGCAAAUAAAGAGAGACAAAGUCUUAAUGACUUUUGUUCAAGCCCAACUGCUACAGGAGAACACAAACAUUGUGUAUCAUCUUUGGAAUCAAUGAUUGAUCAUGUCAUUUCACAUUUUGGGACAACAAAGAUAAAGGCAAUUUCAAGUACCUUUGUCCAAAACCAAGACCAAUAUGUUGUUGAGGAAGUGAAAAAAGUUGGAGACAAUGCAGUGAUGUGUCAUAGAUUGAAUUUCGAAAAAGUUGUAUUCAAUUGCCACCAAGUGCAAUCAACAAUCGCUUAUGUGGUCUCAUUGGUAGCCCCUGAUGGAACUAAAGCUAAGGCUUUAACAGUUUGUCACCAUGAUACAAGAGGGAUGAACCCUGAGUUGCUUUAUGAAGCUCUUAAAGUUGAUCCUGGAACCAUCCCUAUUUGUCAUUUCAUUGGAAAUAAGGCUGCUGCAUGGGUGUCCAAUCAUUCUAAUGACCAUCUAUGUGUUAUUUAGGUGCUAACUUGUUGUGCACAUCAUUUCUCAUUCAAUAAUUUUACACUAAACAUGUGUUUGUAUGGAGAAACACGAUGUGCAAGUAUCAAAUCUCAUGUAUUUCAAAUAAAACUAGGUAGUUCUAUUCUAGUUAGAACUAUGGGUGUACUUUGGUAUGGUCGGUAGGCAACCUAGUUUCCUAUGAUCAAUACACCAGUGUACGUUUAAAAUCGAUAAUGAUAAAAAAAUGUUAUUUAAUGUAAUAUAUUGUUGAUAUUUCAUUUGUGUUUUAAAAAAGUAGAAUAUGUCUAGGGAUGUCAAUGGGUAGGAUUUGGAUUGGAUAUUAUAGUACUCGUUCCCUUAUCCGCAUUUUAUAAAAAUAUUCAUACUCGUGCUCGUGUAUCAACUUUAAUAUGUGUACCCUUACCCUUUGGGUACCUUAUUCGUCCAUAUACCUAUUAUACACACUUUAACUAAAAUAAAUCGAUAAAUAAGUGAUAUUGUUGUGAUUAAUUAUUUAAAAAUUAUUCAAAUAUCUUAAAUCUAAUCAUGAUGCUUAGUUUGUUUGUCAUCAUAGUGUCAAGUUGUUUUUUUUCUCGUUUAAGUGCGGUGUUUACAUAGGCAACAAACUUGUUUGUUUUUCCGUCUAAGUGUGGUGUAUACAAAGACAACAAACUUGUUAUGUUGGUACCAUACUCACUCGUUCUUAUAUAUGAUGAUUUGUCAACACGUGAUUGGAUUGGUCAUUUCAAAGAUCAUCCUAUAAUCAAUAAGAGCGAACACCAACAAUAUAUUUUUCCGAAGAUGGAUUGAAUUAAAACUAUAGAUCUUGUCUUAUUCUUGACUAUUGUCCAGGAAGAAAUUAGUUUGAUUACUUGAAUUAAAAUUUUGGCUUGAUCAUCUUUCAUUGAUUUAUAAAAUCUUUAUAUGUAUUGUUGGCAUGUUUUGUGUUUUUUUAAUUAGUUUUGAUCUCAAAAUAUAGAAGGGGAAUAUUUCAUAUCAUGAUGAAUUUGCUUGUAAUUUUCUUAUUUACAUUUGAAUAAAGCUUAAAACAAAUACAAACAUGCAAUAUAUUUCUAAUAUGGUGAAAAAAUAAGCAAAGAUAGUCACACAACUAGAGAUGACAACACAACUUGUAUUUGCGACUAUCCACUUGAAAUUUUUUCGAUUUGGACAGAGAAAACUCACUUUGAUUGGUUGCGGGUGUAGAUUUUCUCCGGAAUUAAAACUCGGGCGAAGACAGGUUUGGAGUAUUCAUAUCCACCCCGCCUUUGUUCUCAAACUCAUUUUGUUAGUACUAUUAUUGUCAAUUUUAAAUUUUAUAUACAUGUAUUUAUUCAAUAUAUUUAAUAUUUUUUUAAUAUUAAAAAUUAUAAUCUUCUCUCUAGAAAAUAUAAUUUUAAUAUUUUUUAAUUUUAUUAUAUUAAAUAUAAUAAAUAUGACUUUUAAAGUUAUUAUUUUAUGUAUAUGAAUGGGUGUAGAUGUGGUUGGGACCGAACCCCGUCAUAGAUAUAAAUAGAGAAUUAAAUUUUACACCUGAUAACAAACAAGGACGGUGGCGGGUUUUCUCGGGUGCGGGAUGGAGGAGGCGAAACCUGCAUCUGCCCCUAUUACUAUGCCUAAUGAAAACCACGUAAUAAUGAGUUCGUUUGUUUAAGAUUUUUAAAAAGUGAUUUUGACUUUAUAUUGGAAAUUUUUUUUAAGAUAACUUAUUGAAAAAUAUUAUAAGUUGCUUUAGUCUAAUUUGUUAUUGAUUAAAAAAUUAAUUUUGGCAUUCUAUAACUGAGAUAUUUAUUAUUAAAUAUUUUAACAUGAUAAUUUUAACAAAAAAUAUCUAUAAAAAAUGAUUUUUAUGAACAAAAUAAAUUUUAAUUUUAAUUUCUUUUUGAAAUUUCAUUAUCCAAAAAAAUUGUAGCAAAGAGAUAGAAUACUUAAAAUAAUAUUUUAAAAUAAACUAUGUAAAUCAAUUUUUCAUGUAAAAUUUUAUUUUUGAAAUUCUUUUUUAGAAAUUUUAUAACAAAAAGUAAGAUUAUUAUAAAAAUCUUGGACUAUCCCUAUGACUAUGGGAGUUGGAAGCUCUUAUUAAAAUUCUAAUCUAAAUGAAAAACAACCUUGCCCUUUUUUCCUAUAUACUAUAUUACACUCUAACCCUUGUUAUUCUACAAAACUUAAUUAUAGUUUUAUUAAAUUAAAAAAAAAUGUAAGUAGUUAUAAUUUUUUAAUUAAUAAUUUUUCCACUUUGCUAAUUUUUUUAAAAAAAAUUAACUAAAAUUUGAACUAGAUAAAGUAUAGAAGAAGGAAGAAAGAAUAGAGCAUAGAAUAUUAUAAUAUUUGCAUUAUAUUCUUCGAGGUGUAUUUCUAUAAAGUCACAUGAGUUCUAUUGAUAAUAGGAGAUAAAUCUUGUAACUUAUAAGUAUAUUAAGAGUCUAUUUUUAGAUGCACUAACAAUUAAAGCGAAGAACAAUAACAAUUGAGUGAAUGACUUUAAUUUAACUAUGGAGUUAUAUGAUGUAGGAAUAUAAACAUCCACUAAAUACUUUAAUUAUUCACUACACUCCCCCAUAUGAAAACCUUACUAAAAAAACUAGUGGUAAAAAAUUCUUGUGAAGAAAAAAAUUUACAACAUUUUUGUGGGAACUGUCUCAUUAAAAAUACUUUAAGAAAAACUCAAAAGGGAUAAAAUUUCGGUGAAGGAAAAAAUAGUGCAUUAUAUAUUUAUUUAUUUAUCAUUUCUAUGUAGAUAACAAUUUGUUAAACAAUAAAGAUCAAUCAAUUGUAGUAGUUGUUGAAAAAUUUCUUCGGAUGACUUCAUUGAUUUUUGUAUUAUCAAUUGGUUGAACAUUAAGACCAAAAACUAUUAUGCUAUAAUAUCUCUUGUUCUAUCUCCUAUAAUGAAUCAUUCUCAACUAAGGUGUGGAUGCAAUAUUAUUCUCAUAAAUAACUACUAUAGUUAUUGUUAUGAAACUUAAAUCAUAAUUCAUUUGCCUAUGUUGAAUCAUGACAGAUUUAAGUCAAAAACACCUUCUCGACUUUCCUAUGUGUAGUUCUAAGUAUAUAUUUCACUAUAUUUCAAUGCAGUUGUCUAUAUAUAUAAAGGACUACAUUUGUCUAAUAGAUAGAUUAACAACAAAGUAUAUUUUAAUGUGUAUUUUUAGAAAGGUAAAUAAGUAUAAUACAUAUAUAUAUAUAUAUAAUAUUUGGACCGUUCGAAAAAUAUAUUUGUUCCCAAUUGGUGAUCUUAAAACCAUCAAAAUAAACAAUUGAUUUGUUUUGUAUAUAUAGAACCAUUUUAGCACAUUUAUUUUUUAAGCUUCAAGAUUCAUAGAAACUUCAAAUGUUUUAAAAGCUCUUCUUAAGUUUAGAUAAGAUUUAUAUCAUUACCAUAAAUAAUAAUUAUAAUAUUUUUUUUUUUAAAUGGGAGAAGGAUAAAUUAUUAUUAAAUUAACACUAAUGACUAUUUUACGAUUGUUCCAAAUGAUAUUUGAAUUAUAUCUCUUUUGAUUACAAUAUUAAAUUCAUAUUGUUGAGCUACCACCUUAUGAACAUAAUUGUAGCAAAGUCAUUGUACAUAUUUCUAGUAGUGUUAAGUAAUCUAUGUUGCAAUUACAUUUACUAAACAAGAUGCGCUCAAUAUAAAGAUUAAAACUAUAAUUAUAUUUUAGUAUGGAAGUCAAACAAUGAAUGAACAUGCAUAUAAAUUAGGAUCUUCCACAUAUUUGAUUUAUCAAAGAUAUUUUUGAUGAAUUCAUUUAUUGUGGUCUCUCGGUAGUAGUCUUGACACACAUAGAAAAUAAAGACGGAUGACAAACACAAGUCACUUGUUACACACUCAUAUUUGAGUAGAACCCAUAUUAAUUAAUUUAUUUAGUUAGUAAUUCGAAUUAAUUUAAUUUAUUUAUGGCUUAAGUAUAUGUCUAGUCCAUGUAAUUUAAUGGUUUUUUUUGUCCCUAUAAUUUUUUUUGUUUCAAAUUUAGUCACAUAAGUUCAAUUUUGUUUUAAAAUCGUCUUUGUUGUUAGUGACUGUUAAAAAAAGCAGACAUGACAAAUAGAGAAUGGGUGGAAAAAAAAAGUGCAAUCUUACAAGAACAAAAAUAAAAAUUUAAAAAAAAAACACGAAUUUACAAGGACUAAACAUAUAUACUUUGAUUUGAUUUUUGACUCUGCAAGUUCACGCUUUUUUAUUUUCAUUUCUUCUCUGUUUUCCAUGUCAGCUUUUUUCAACAAUAACUAACAAUAUAGACGGUUUUAAAACAAAAUUGAACUUACAAAUUUAAAUUUGAAACAAACAAAAAAUUACAAGAAUGAAAACAAAAAAAAAACGCUAAUUUACAGAAACCUUAAAUUUUUUAAGCUUAAUUUAAUUAUUUAAUUUGAUCGCUAGUCAACUAAUACUCUUAAUAAAUAAAUAAAUAAUAUAAUUAAUAUAAGAUAUUUGUCUACAUAAUAUAAUUAGAAUAUAAUUAAAUAGUAAAAUAUUUCUAAACAUCUGUUCUAGUUGGAAAAUUGACACUAAAUUUUUGUUGGUUGCCUUCUAAAAAUCUAUCAUGCCUCAUCAUUGUACUAAGAAAAAUAAAUUAAGCUUUGUUAAUACCUUUACUCAAGGAGAAUCAACAUUAAAUAUUGGUACCACAAGUUUUGGAGAUUCUAUGUAUCUAUCCUGCAUGGACGCCAUGUCAUGGAAACAACAAUGGUACUACAAACCUUGGAGUGGGAUGCAUGGACGACAUUUGCACAAGUUCUGUUACCCACUUGUAGGAAUCAAAAUGAAUGAACAAAAUGGUUUAAGACAAGCUUUUCAUGUGAACUUACUAUAUAUAAUGGGCACCUUGUAACAUUUAUACACACACUCAAGUAAACUUAUAUAUAGUCAUCACUUCUUCAUAACCAACCAAUGGAGUUUUCACGUCUCUCUAUUUUAGCUCUAUUUUGUGUAAGCUAACUUAUUUUCUACUUCAAGAAUUAAAAGAUCCAUACAAAGUUUUCAUUAGGAAUUAUCAUUAAGGAAUAAGGAGGGACACUUUUUUUAAACAAUACUAAUAUAUGUAAUUUGAAUAUUUUUUAUUACAGUUGACUUUUGUGGGAAUUGACGCAUCACCAUUGUCUGCCGAAGAUUAUUGGAAAUCUGUUUGGCCAAAUGCUCCUCUUCCAAAGGCUUUCUUUGAUCUAUUGUUACCUUGUUAGUAGUAGUAUUAUAUAUAUAUUUGUUAGNNNNNNNNNNNNNNNNNNNNNNNNNNNNNNNNNNNNNNNNNNNNNNNNNNNNNNNNNNNNNNNNNNNNNNNNNNNNNNNNNNNNNNNNNNNNNNNNNNNNNNNNNNNNNNNNNNNNNNNNNNNNNNNNNNNNNNNNNNNNNNNNNNNNNNNNNNNNNNNNNNNNNNNNNNNNNNNNNNNNNNNNNNNNNNNNNNNNNNNNNNNNNNNNNNNNNNNNNNNNNNNNNNNNNNNNNNNNNNNNNNNNNNNNNNNNNNNNNNNNNNNNNGAAUUUACAUUAUGACGAUAGUUGUAUGUAUUUCUUCUAAUUUAUUUUUUAUUCUUUUAAACCCAAUGGUUCCUACGGCUCCUACUCAAUAAAUCAAUUGUAGGAGAUCCAAUUUUUGUUGAUAGAGCUAUAAAUCAAUUGUAGGAGAUCCAAUUUUUGUUGAUAGAGCUAUAAAUCAAUUGCUCAUUAUAUUUUUGUUAUUUUUUCAUAUAUGAAUUAGUGUCUCAUAACAAGAUUUUUAAGACUCAUUUUUAUCUAUUAUUGUGGCAGAUGGAAAAACCAAUAGUCUACCCAUAAAAGUUGAAGAAAUGAAUCAAUACUCGACACUCUUUUUUGAGCAUGAUCUCUAUCCUGGAAAAAAAAUUACCUUGGGUAAAAGUCAAUCUUUGGGAAAGAUGGUACGACCAUUCACAAAACCAACACAAGGUAUCACAGACUCCAUAUGGUUGGCAAAUAAAAAGAGACAAAGUCUUAAUGACUUUUGUGCGAGUCCAACGGCUACAGGAGAACAUAAACAUUGUGUGUCAUCCUUGGAAUCAAUGGUUGAUCAUGUCAUUUCACAUUUUGGGACGACAAAGAUUAAGGCAAUUUCAAGUACUUUUACCCAAAAUCAAGAUGAAUAUGUUGUUGAGGAAGUGAAAAGAGUUGGAGACAAUGCAGUGAUGUGUCAUAGAUUGAAUUUCGAAAAAGUUGUAUUCAAUUGCCACCAAGUGCAAGAAACAACCGCUUACGUAGUCUCAUUGGUAUCCCCUGAUGGAACUAAAGUUAAUGCUUUAACAGUUUGUCACCAUGAUACAAGAGGUAUGAAUCCUGAAUUGCUUUAUGAAGCUCUCAAAGUUGACCCUGGAACUGUCCCUGUUUGCCAUUUCAUCGGCAAUAAGGCUGCUGCUUGGGUACCUAACUUUUCUGAUGACCAUCUUUGUGUCAUCUAGAUGCUAACUUCUUGUGCACAUCAUCUCCCUUUCAAUAACAUCAUGUUCAAACUGGCUUUGUUUUAUUAAAUUUAUGUAUGUAUGUAUGGAGAAUGUGAUGUGCAAGUAUGGGAUUUCAUGUAUUUCAAAUAAAACUACUUCUAUUUUGAAUAUGUGUAUAUUUGCAUGUGUUGGGAGUUUGAUAUCCUCUACUCAGUACCUUGAUGUAUGUUGAACUUGAUAAUAAUGAGAAAAAAAGAGUUGUGUUUGAUAUACCUUGUUGACUGUAGACUUUUUAGACUUUGGAUAGAAAAAUUUCUUCCUUGUUAAAAUUAAAAUUACAAUUGACCAUAAAUCUAUAAGUUUUUCCUUUUCUAUACUACAUUCAAAAGAAGGAAUUGUAUUAAAUCAUAUAUUCAAAAUUUAUUCUCAAAGUAACUAAAAUCACCAAAACACUCGCAGCAUAUAAUAUCAACUCAAUUUUAGUUACAUGUGAUGAAGAGAUUCGUAAAUUAUCUUUUAUAGUUUUGAAUAUAAGUAAAAACUAGAUGUUAAUCUCUGCAAUUUAAGUGGAUCUUUAAAAAAAUCAAUAUGAAAUUUUAUGUCUCAAUUGUCAAAUGAUUAUUGAUAUAGUAGUUAUAUCAAUAAUAUGCAUUUAAUUUUAUAUAUAAAAUUUAUAGAAGAGAAGUAUCAUUGUCACGGAUGUUGUUAGCAAACACACCCAACAAUAAGGUAAGCAAAAAAGAUAUAUGUACUAUCAAUUAAGAAGAAGUGAAGAAACUUCUCAUGUUAUUACGCUCAAUAUUGCAUAUUCUGAAAAAAUGUAUACAAUUGCUAUCAAAUAAGUAAUGGCAGAUAGAGGCGAAAAUAAAACAUAUUGACUAGUAACGUGAAAUUAAUGUGAAAGAUGUUUAGCAAACGUUAUGAAAUAAUAAUGUGAUGUUAUGAAAUAAUAAUGUGAUGUUAUGAAAUAACAAUGUGGGAUUAAUUUAGAAAACUUUGAGUAGACGUUAUAAAAUGAUUAUCUUUAUGAAGACAUACAGUUUUUUGGUUGAUGUGAGAAAUAUUUAUAUAAAGAAAAUAGUACGAGGUAGAUAGAUAAUAAAAUUUAUGAUAAUUACGAAAGUCAAGUAAUUUCAUUUAAUUUUUUGAAUACCAUAAAAAAGGGGGGAGGGCCCUGCCAUAGUUUUUAAAAGUAAUCGCAAAUAACGAUUUAUUGUUUAUUAUUUGUUCACAUUGUUCAAAAAACAUACUAAAACUUUAAUUUCAACUUGUUUUGGCGUAUUCAUAUAGUAUAACAUAGCAGUACUAUAUCAUUUAUUAAUUAAUUUAUUUCCUUUGUAGAAGAUUCAAUUUCAGAAAAAUAAAUUUGGCACAUAUUUUAUAUUAGAUGUUUCAUAUUUUAUUUGAUAAAUAUGAAUAAUUAUUGGAAAUGGUUAAUUAUUAUUAUUUCUUUUUUGUAUUUUUUAUUUUAAAAUUAUUAAUAAUUCAACGGUAAUUAAGAUUUUAAAAAUUAUUUUUUAUUUUUUGUCAAAAAAAUUAUAAAAAUUGAAACAAUACUAUUUAAUUUAUCAUAUGAAUUAGUAGAUUUCAAGUAAAAUUUUAAUAUUUCAAUUAUUUUUUAAAAAAACUUUUUUUUCUAUAAAAUGCAAAAACUGAAUGAAUAAUUAAUAUCAUUUUAUAGACUUAAAUAUAAUUUUAGCUAUUUAUCUUUACCUAAUAAUAAUUUUAUUUUUUUAUCUUUUUUUAUUCAUUUUGGUUCUUUAUUAUCUUUUGUAAGCGGUGUAAUUUAGUCUUUUUCAUCAUAAUUAUUUUAAACAACUAUAUAAUUAUUGUAAAGUUAAGUAUGCAAUUUAAUAAGGAUGGGUGAAAUCUAAGAAACUAUGAUAAACGUCAUUCGUUUCAAAGAGUUCAUAUAUAUUUUAAAGCAUGUAAGAAUUUUUUUUUUUCUAAUGCAAACCUAUUAUUGAGUUAAAUGCAUAUUUUUUUGAAAGAAUACAUUAUACUGAAUACAUAUUGACAAUUGUUAGAAGGGAUUUCAAUUAUCAAAUGUUGUUAUAACUUUUGUUGUCUUUGUGACAAAAACUGAAAUACACCACUUAUAAAAGAUAAAGUACCAAAAUAUUAAAAUAAAUAUAAAGGACCAAAUCAAACAAAAAAAUAAAUAUAUAAAUAACCAAAAUGAAUAUUAAAGAAAAGAUAAAUGACUAAAAUUAUAUUUAAGGCUAUUUUAUAAGAUGUGCAUGCAUUAAAAAAAUAACUAAAUGCUUUCAACUAACUCAAUAGUAUAUAAUUUGAUGUUAAUUCAACUGCACAAACAUAUCUAAUAACUUCUAAUUCUUCAAACAAAAUUUUACCAUUAGGAAAAUGGUCACAUUUUCCCAAGUUUUAAGAUGUUUACAUCAUAUUUUAAUUUAGGUUAUUAUUAAAUAAUAAUUUAACCCUUAAUACUAGACAAAAUUAAAAAUAUUCUCAGAUAUAUAUACAGCUCAAAUCUUCUAUUAAGCUCAAAUCUUCUAUUAAGUGGAUAAUUGUUAAGUUUUUAUUUGAAUGUAACUUUAAUUAUAUAUUUUUUAUAUCUUAAUAUUUAUAUAUCCUAAUUAAUAUUAUUGAAGUAAAAAAAGUUUUGGGUAUCCCUAAAAAAUUAAUGUCUUAAGCAGUCAUUUAUCUCAACUAUACCCUCAAGAAUACCACUGCCUAACGGACGGGUAUUUUUCACCAAUAUUUUGUAUGGUUGAAUACUAGACAAUGUAGUAAAGACUAGUGGACUAAGGAUACUAGUGUCAUGAACCACUUUGGUUUGGUCUUUUGUCACUAAAAAUACCAGAUGUAUUUUGAAUAACCUCUUUUUAAAUUUUUUUUACUUAAAUACUCACUUUUGAAAAGUAUUAACUAAAAUGUCUUUUUUUUAUACCUUAUAAGUCCCCAUUUAUAAAAGUAAUUUUUCCGUUGCAAUGGCGACUUCCUUAAAUAAUUUAAAAAAAAAAUUAAUUUAUAUAUAUAUAUAUAUAUAAUUCAUAAAAAUACAUAAACACAAAUUUUAAAUUACAUAGAUUCACUAGAGUUGUCUAUAACAUUUUAAAUUACCUAAUUUAUUCAUAAAAACAUCACAAAUUUUACAAAAAUUACGAUAAAAUUAAUGUCGAAAAUGACCUCCAGUAUCAUAUUGCCUAUGUUUUCUCACAGUACAUAUGUACCAAGGCGUCGUCAAAAUCUCGUUCGUGUGAGAAAAUAUUGGCAAUGUGGUACUGGAGAUUACCUUCGACAUUAAUUUUAUCGUGAUUUUUGUAAAAUUUAUGAUGUUAUUUAUGAAUAAAUUAUAUAAUUUAAAUUUUGUGUUUAUGUAUUUUUAUGAAUUAUAUAUAUAUAUAUAUAUUGUUAAUUUAAUUUUUUUUUUUUGAAAAUUGCUUAAAGAAAUCGUCAUUGCAAAUUCGGACUUCCUUAAAGAAGUCGCCUUUGCAAAUAGAGACUUGUAAGAUAUAAAAAUAAAAAUAAAAAAAAUAAAAAAGAACAUUUUGAUUAAUAGUUUUCAAAAGCGGGUUAACUAAAUAAAAAAUUUAAAAGAGGUUAUUAAAAUAAAAAUAAAAAAAAACCUAUAUCAGAGCACUAGUAAGGAAAAAUAUACACAAAUUAUAUAUUACUUUGAAAAUGUUCAUUGUAUAAUGUAACAUUUUUAUUUAUAUAUUUAUAAAAAAAAUCAUAUGUUGUUCUUUUGUUUUUAGCAAAGGCCAGUUAAUUUAAAUAGGUUUGUUUGUUUCAAUAUUUUAUUUAUUUUAAUUUAAAUUUUUUAUUGGAUUGUUUGUGUAUAAAUUUUAUUAUUGAUUUUUUUUUUCAGAUGUAAUUAUUAUAUUUUAAUAUAUUUUGUGGUUAUUUAUGGUUGCUAUAUUUUAAUUAUUAAAAUAUAGUUAAAAUAUUGUGAUGUAUUUAUAUACAAUAAAUUUAAAAAGUAAUUGAUAAUUAAAUCAAAUUUGUAAUGAAAGCUAUAUUUUUUUAUUGUUAGUUUUUAAUCAUAGUUACAUAGAACAAAGAAGUAGUAGAAUGAUAAAUAAAGAAGAAAUGAAUUCUAGAGAUAUAACAUGUCGUCUUAUCGAAGGACUUAGGAUAAUUAGUAUUACAUGACAUAUAAGGAUGUAUUUGUGAAUAAUAUAAUUAUUUGAGGAUUUAUUUUAAUAUAUUAUUGUAUAUUGUAUAUUUUAUAUUGAUCCUAAUCUCAAUGAAGAAAAAAAAAACUUAUCGUUUUUUCUAUAUACUAUAUUACACUCUAAUCCGUAUUGUUCCACAAACCUUGAUUAUAGUUUUGUUAACUUAUAAAAAAAUUGCUAAAUUUAAAAAAUAUGAAUUAACUAAAACUAGAGCUAAAUAGAAGAAUGAAAGGAAGGAAGAAAAAAUAUACUAGAGAGAGAAUAAGAGAGUAUUUGCAUUAUGUUCUUCAAGGUGUAUUUCUAUAAAGGCACGUUAGUCCUAUUUAUAGGUAAUAAAUCUUAUAACUUAUAAGUAUAAUAGGAGUCUACUUUUAACUAUGGAGUUAUACGAUAUAGAAAGAUGAACAUUCUUUAAAUACUCUAAUUAUUUACAAUACUCCCCCUAAUGAAAAUUUUAUUAAACAAACUCUGUCACGAAAACGGCUAAAACUGUAUUUAUGUAAAAACUGACUCAUUAAAAAAAAUUCAAGAAAAACUGAAGAAAAAAAAUCAAAUUUUAAGAAAAAAGAAUGUAUUAUUUAUUUAUUUAUCCCCCACACAAUAACCUCUAAAACAAGGAAGAUCAAAUUUUCGUAAAAGUUGUUGAAAAAUUUACUAAGUGGUGACUUUGUACAAAUAUGUAUCAUCAAUUAGUUGAAGAUUACAACCAAAAAAUAUUUUACUAAAAUACAUUUUAUUCUAUCUCCUUUAACAAAUCAUUCUCCACUAAGGUGUGCAUGCAAUGUUAUCCUCGUAAAUAAUUAAUGUAGUUAUUUUUCUAGAACUCAAAUCAUUAUUCAUUUGCAUGUGUUGAAUCAUGAUAGAUCUAACUCAAAAUACCUUCUCAACUUACCUCAUGUAAUACUAAAAUUUCUACAUCUAUAAGAUAACCAAGUAUAUAUUUCACCAUAUUCUAAUGUCGUUGUGUAUAUAUAUAAAGGACUACAUUUGUUUAAUAGAUAGUUUGAUGCAAAUGAUAUUUCACAAUAUAAUUAGAAAGAUACAUAACUAUCUAAUUGCACUAAUAUAUGAAAUUUUAUGAUCAAAUAGUUGAUAUUCAGUCAUUUUCUCUAGCUUAAAAAAUAUAUUUGUUCACAAUUGAUGAUCUUACAACCAUCAAAAUGCACAAUUGAUGUGAUUUGUCUAUAUUGAACCAUUUUAGCACAUUUUCUAGUUAAGCUUCAAGAUUCAAAGAAAAAUUAUUCUUUAAAUACUCAAUUUGUAACCUCAAGCAAAUUUAUAUCCUUCUUAUGUAUUCCAUUUCAAACGUUUUCUCUAAAAAAUCAGAUUUUAGAAGCUCUUCCUAAGUUCAAAUAAUAUUUAAAUCAUCAACAUAAACAAUAAAUAUAGCACACUUUUUAAAAAAAUGAGGGAAGGAGAAAGUAUUAUUAAAAUGACACAAAUUAUCAUUUUACAAUUGUCCCAAAAGAUAUUUGAAAUAUGUAUUUUAAGGUUAUAAUUUUAAACUCUUACAGUUGAGCUAACACUUUAUGGACAUACUUAUAGCAAGUUCAUUUCUACAUAUUUUCAAAUAAAUACAAAGAUAAAUAUGAUAUUUCAUAUCAUUCAUUUAAGAGAUAUUCAAUGAGACAAUUAUACUACAUGUAAACGCAUGUAUUAAUCUAUAAAAUGACUUAUUCAAUAUAAUAUUGAGUAAUCUAUGUUGAAAUUAAACUUACUAAUUAAUCAAUACAAAAGAUGCUCAAUAUAAAGAUUAAAACUAUAAUCAUACUCUAGUGCAGAAGUCAAAUAACAUUUGAACAUGCAUUUAAUUAAAAUCUAUCAUAUAUUUAAUUUAUCAAAAAUAUUAAUACCAAGAUUAUGAAUGCAUUGAUUGUAGCAUGUCAAUAGUAUGCCUUAGACGCUUUUCAAAUGGGGAUAAUAGGCUGUGUGCGGUGUGUCCGAUAUAUCGGAAAUCGUGGAUCAACGAGGAACAUCCACUCAUAUUUGAGUCGGACACAUAUCACUUUAUUAAUUUAAUUAAUUAUCCAAAUAAAAAUUUAUUGAAUUUAAUUUAUAUAUAUUGUUUGUAUAAUUAUGUGAAUUGAGUUUUUACAUUGUCGGUAAAUGAAAAACGUUACAUCAUUAAAGAUUAAAGAUGUUUGACUUUUAUAAUUAUCUAUAAUGUCAUGUUCAUAAAUGAUUGUAAUGAUUGUCGAUGUAAGACUUUUUAUAUAAACUCAAAUCUAAUUAACCUUAUUACUUAAUUUGACCACUAAUCAAUUAAUCAUCCUAAUUAAUAAAUAACUAAUAUAAUUAAUAUAAGAUACAGGGCCUCAUAAUAUUGAAAUAUAAUUAAAUAAUAAAUUGUUCUAACAUCUCUUCUAGUUGGAAAUUGACACUAAAUUAUUGUUGGUUGCAUUCUAACAAUAUAUCAUGCCUCAUUUGUUGUACUAAAAAAAGUAAAUUAAGUUUUGCUAAUAUAUAUAUCUCUAAUAUUUAGAGAAUCAACGUAAAUGGUACCACAAGCUUUGGAGAUUCUAUUGUAACUAUGCUGCAUGGAUGCCAUGUGCACAACAGGUUUAAUAACUCUUAAAGACAAGAAUAGUACCACACAAACUUUGUGGUGCAUGGAAGCCAUUUGGACAAAGUAAAACAAGGUAGUUUUGAUACCCUUUUGGAGACAACCAUAAAGUUUGGAGUGUGAUGCAUGAAUGACAUGUGCACAAGCUUUCUUAACCACUUGGAGGAAUUGAUUUCAAUGUAUGACAAGAAUAGUACCACACAAACUUUGUGGUGCAUGGAAGCCAUUUGGACAAAGUAAAACAAGGUAGUUUUGAUACCCUUUUGGAGACAACCAUAAAGUUUGGAGUGUGAUGCAUGAAUGACAUGUGCACAAGCUUUCUUAACCACUUGGAGGAAUUGAUUUCAAUGUAUAACAAUGGCAUACGACAAGCUUUGCAUGCAAAUGUAACUAAAUAGUUGCAUGUGAAAUUACUAUAUAUAUGACUACCUUGUAACAUUCAUACACACACCCAACAAAUUAGUUUUUAUAGAGUCAUCACUUCUUCGUAGUCAAUUAAUUAAUGGAGUUUGCACGUAUCUCUGUUUUAGUUCUGUUUUGUGUAAGCUAACUUAUUUUUUUACUUUAGAAUCUUUUAAUUUGCAAUUUCAAUUAAUCUCAUUGUUAUUUACUUUAAGAAUUAAUGCAAGCAUAAAAAGUUUUCAAUAAAAAUUGAAGAGAUGAACACUUUUUUUAAACAAUACUAAUAUGUGAUGGGAACAUUUUUUUGUAGUUGGCUUUUGUGGAAAUUGGUGCAUCACCAGCUGAAGAUUAUUGGCGAUCUAUUUGGCCAAACACUCCUCUGCCUAAAGCUUUCUUUGAUUUGUUGUUGCCUUGUUAGUAAUAUAUAUUAAUAUAUAUGUGUGUGUCAUGUGUGUUGUCUGCAUGAAUGAAUAAUUUUUACUUUAAAUCAUAAUGGUUAAACCAAUGAUUACAUGUUCAUGUUUAAGUUGAAAAUGUUUAUAAAAAUAAAGGACCUAUGUGGGAAAAGUAGAGAUAAAGCUGUAAAUGUUUAUAAAGAUAAAUGAUAUGUGUGGGAAAAAAAAUAAAAAAGGUGGAUAUUUUACUACUAAAUAAGAUAAAGGAUUUUAGAUGUAAUUAUACCUUAAUUUUAAUUUUUUUUGCAAUAGGUGUAUAGAAUUAGAUAUUGGUUUAUUAUGUGUAUUUCUUCAAAUUUAAUGUAAGGAUCCUCUGCAUUUGUUUUAUGGUACAUCAUAUAUAAGUAUAGUAGAUUUAGAGAGAAAAAUAUCAUCUCUCUAAAUUCAACUAAGCUACUACACUAUAUAGUUUUAUAGUUGGUCAAGGGAUCUAAUUUGUAUAUCGAGAGCUCUAUAACUCAAUUGCUCGUAAUAUGAAUGUUAUCAUUUCAUGUGUAAAUUAGUGCCUCAUAACAAGACUUAGGAUCCAUUGUUUGAUUAAUAUGCAGAUGGAAGAAGCAAUAGUCUACCCAUUAGUGCCAAAGAAAUGAAUCAAUAUUCGACACUCUUUUUCGAACAUGACCUCUAUCCUGGAAAGAAAAUUUCUUUAGGUAACAUUCAAUCUUUGGGAAAGACCGUACGACCAUUCAUAAAACCAACACAAGGUGUCACAGACUCCAUAUGGUUGGCAAAUAAAGAGAGACAAAGUCUCGAGGACUUUUGUGAAAGCCCAACUGCUAUAGGAGAACACAAACAUUGUGUAUCAUCUUUAGAAUCGAUGAUUGAUCAUGUCAUUUCACAUUUUGGGACGACAAAGAUUAAGGCGAUUUCAAGUACCUUUGUCCAAAAUCAAGACCAAUAUGUUGUUGAGGAAGUGAAAAAAGUUGGAGACAAUGCAGUGAUGUGUCACAGAUUAAAUUUUGAAAAAGUUGUAUUCAAUUGCCACCAAGUGCAAGCAACAACAGCUUACGUGGUCUCAUUAGUAUCCCCUGAUGGAACUAAAGCUAAAGCCUUAACAGUUUGUCACCAUGAUACAAAAGGUAUGAAUUCUGAGUUGCUUUAUGAAGCUCUCAAAGUUGACCCUGGAACUGUUCCUGUUUGCCAUUUCAUCGGCAAUAAGGCUGCUGCUUGGGUACCUAACCAUUCUAAUGACCAUCUUUGUGUCAUCUAGAUGUUAACUUGUUGUGCAUGUCAUCUUUCUUAUCAAUAAAAUCAUGCUAAAAUCACACUUCAAAUAUGAGCAUUUUCAACUUCAUGGAACUCUCAUGUUCAAAUUGGAUUUGACUUUCAUGUUCAAACUAGGUUUGUUUUAAAGUUAUAUAUGCAUGGAGAAAUGUGACGUGCUAAGUAUCAAAUUUCAUGUAUUUCAAAUAAAAC
rnacentral:lncRNA from 1 species